GUCAUGCAGCUGCCUGGACUCAACACGUUGGGGAUCUCGUUGGCUCGCAUUGACUACGCACCAUUAGGUCAGAAUCCUCCACACACACACCCACGUGCCACUGAGAUCCUCACCGUGCUUGAGGGGACACUCUACGUCGGAUUUGUCACCUCCAACCAAGCUGACAGAAGCAACAAGCUAUUUGCCAAGGUUCUCAACAAGGGCGAUGUGUUUGUAUUCCCCCAAGGACUAAUCCACUUCCAGUUCAACCCAGUACAUGACAAGCCAGCAGUCGCCCUCGCUGCUCUAAGUAGCCAGAACCCUGGAGCUAUUACUAUUGCCAAUGCAGUCUUUGGAUCAAAGCCACCUAUCUCGGAUGAUGUCCUAGCUAAGGCCUUUCAGGUGCAAAAGGGGACAAUUGAUUGGCUUCAAGCUCAGUUCUGGGAGAACAACCACUACUGAAAAAAUCAAGUCUAAGUUCAACAUAUGAGAAUAAAGAAAUGUACUUGUAUUUUACAUACUACUCUAUGUGUCAACCUUUUUCUAGGUUGCGACUGAUAAUAAAAUAAAUGUUACUCUGUCAUACUAGAUAUGAAACAUUAACUUAGUUUAGUAAUACAUGAACAGUCGGUUAUUACGAAUUAAUCACUCCCCUACAUCUAUAGGAAAGGAUAAGUCCUAAAUUCAACUAGGAGUGACCAACAAAGCUCAUAUUUAUGACCAGGCAUGAGCUUGAGCGAAUUUUGGCAGAAUAACCCCAAUGUUCUCCAUUUACAUGCCUGAAAAUGCUGCAACAGAGAACAAAGGGGUUAUGCUUCUAAAAUUACGCACAAGCACAUGUCUUAUUACAAAUAUGAGCUCUGUCGGUCACUCUGAGGUUGUCCAAUAAAGGGACAAUCCUUCCCCAACAUACGUCACAUGCAUCCCACAUGAGGUGUGUUGGACCAAAACGAGUGAUGCGCAGAUUCGGCUCCAUUUGUUAACUCUAUGUUACACACAUUUACGCUACAUCCGUCGAUCAAUAUUAUAUAAUUCAACUAAUAAAACACUUAUACAAUGUUUUAUACUACAUAACAUUGUUUUGGGUGAAAAUAAUAUUAAAUGACCUUAUUUCCAAAGGUUUAAUAAUUACCAUUAGAAAUUACAUAUUUAAGUUAUUUAAGCACCCUAAAUGAACUAAAACAAUCUAAAUAAACUACAUAAUCACCAUUACGGUCGUCAAAUAUAUUCAACACACAUAUUUCAUACAAACAAUCAAUCAACGCAUGUAAUUAUAAAGCAAAUGGUCUUACUUCGGGAGGCAGGGCGAUGCUGUGGAAGGUGGGGAGGCGCUCUGGAAGGCGUGCGAUGGACGAGGCGACGCUGCGGGAGGUUGGCAGAGCUUCGGGAGGCGUGUGGUGGGUGGUCGUGCCCUGGCAGAUGGCGCUACGGGCGGUGGCGGCUUCGAUGGAGCUUCAGGAGGCGUAUGGUGGGUGGCAACGCCCCGACGGAUGGCGCUACGGGCGGCGACAGCUUCAGCUCUGGCGGACGUGGCAUCGACGAACGAGUGUGGGUGCGACUUCUACAUGGCAGUGAGGGCGGCGACGAUGAACAGCUUCGGCGGGGCAUGGAGCCGGGGAUGGGCCGAGAAAGGGCGUCGGUCACAGGCGAUGGUGGGGCGGUGACGACAGGUCAAGCGGAUGCAGCAUACAACAUGAGAGAGAGCGAGCGAGCACGUGUGGGGAGAGAAAGUGAAACGGCGUGGUCGGGCAUUGUUUCCUUAAAUCGACGUAUGUCUGACAACGUGUCUGGCAGCUGUGGGACAUAAGGAUUACUAGUCGGUUGUCCGUGCGUUGCGACGGCUCACAACAAUAACCACGUAAACUAUCCACCAAAAAGAUCUCAAGGUUUUUAUUGAUUGUCUCCGCUCUCCGCAUAAUAUUUUUUAUUUGACUAACUGAUGUUGUUGUUUACUCCAUCCAAUAUGUCUUGGUACAACACGACCAAUGAAGGGAGCGAUUAGUAGAAAUUUCACAAUGACCGAUUGAACGAAUAUAGAUUAUAGAAUGACAUAAUUCCACCAUACAUAGACCAAAUAAGAGGAAGUUUGUGAGCUCAAGUUUCUAAAAUAAGUCACAUGAACUCAAACUUAUAAAAAAGAUAGAUUAAAAUAUGGAUUGGUUGCUAAAGUCAGUCAUCAAUAAAAAUUGGAUGCGCUCUAUACAAAUUAUGGUACUUCAUAACAAUUACUAACGUUUGAAAUCAACAAAUAACCUUUCCUUUUAUUGCUAGCGUGACAAAUCAUUGUUGCUCCAUCCAAUUUAGCAACCUCAAACACCAUGGAGUCCAUUGCGCCAAUGUGGUCCCAGAAACGACCUAAUGCAUGCAAGAGCCAAGAACACAACGGACGGGCACCCUGUGAUAGUUCCCGCAUGGAUCUCCAAAUCCUAACACAUAUUUUGUAGGAUCCAUGAACCAUCAUAAGAAAAAUAGAAAUCAUGUGCAGACAAUAAAUAAAGUAUUAACACACCCAAAUUAUGUUCAAUCAUUAGCACAACAAAAAACUAACACCCAAAACAACAGCGAAACAACACAAUAUUUUUUGCAAUGACAGAAGGAUGGGUGACAAGUACAUAGAAGUGGUAGAAGCAUACUGAGUCGACACCGUGGUAAGGGAAAGGCCAUGUAGACAGGCGAUGCCGAGCCAUCGAACGGGUACCAGGCAGCAAAUCAGAGACCCCCAUCACUCGCCUCCCCCACUUCCAAGGUUUCGUAGAGCAGGAAGGGAAUGGAAGAGGUGGGCAUACCUGUUCGUUGCUGGAGAAGGACACAACAAAGACCUAGGCAUCUGGAGGCGACAUAGGUAGUAUACCGCUAGAUACAUAUAGGGAGAGAGCACACAAGCGGAGAAAAAAGGCUAGUCGGAGCGGCUCCAAACCGAGAGGCACCCACACUAGGCGUCAAUCUGAGAAGGGCGAGAGAAUGCGAGUGGCUUCCCAGCCCUGGACCCACCAAGGCGACACAACAACACCACCAACUCUGUAGCAUAUGUUGACUGCUAUCGUGCCACGGGCCUUGGUUGUCCAAUAUCUCAGACCUGGACUCCUCAUCGUCAAGAUAACCUAAGCGUGGCAGGCGCCACCGUGUCCUCCUCGGAGGUACGCACGAAGAAAGGCUAGGAGUAAGACCGACUCGCUCGUACUCGUGUCGACGAGCGUCGGUCGGCUCGCGGCUGCGACCGUGGGCGGGGGCAGUAGGUUGGGGAGGAAAAACAGGGUGAAGGACGGGAAGACGAACAGGAUGUCCGACGACUGCGAAAACGAUGGUGCGCACAUGCGGUGAAACGUCCUCGUGGACGUGCAAUAUCCAUUGCGUGGGUCGGUGUCGGGGCUGGUGUCGGACGAAUACGGGGAGGAGGUGCCUGCUCUCACGCCCUCUGUCGAGAAUGGGGUGGCGCGGAGACAGAGGCACGAGGGGAGACAGAAAAUAAGUAGGAUGGCGAACGAGGUCGCGACAACUGAGGCGAAGACCAUCAUUACCGUGUGGUGGUAUAGAUGGCCAAAUGGGUCGUGUCUGGUGGCCCGGCCCCGGUCACGACCAAUUUAAUAGUGCCUGGGCCAGUCCCGCACGACCGUCGUGCCAUGCUUGGGCUGUAGCCUCAGCCUGUAGUGCUGGCCCGACCCGGCAUGAUUAUUUUUUUUACAAAAAAUAAUAUAUACAUAUGUAGAAUUUAUAUUCAAUAUUAAAAACACCUGAGGAUAAUGUUCUACUGGUUAGAUAGCUUCACCCAGUGUCUCCCGCCCUUCUUCCAUUAGGGCGUGGGUUCGAACCCGCCUCCUGCAGCGUUUUUAACAUUUUACGUUGAUUUAACCAAAUGGUCCGACGGGCUAAUGAGCUGAGCCGGCAUGGUCAGCAGGACGGCGAGCCGUGCGUGUGCCGGAGCUGCGCGGAGGGGCAGGUAACCAUACGUGAAGAGGAAAUUGUGCAGAUUUUGCAACUGCACCAAGGAAUAAUAAAAAAGCACACAAAGUAGUAAGGAAUUAAUCCCAUUAUUAGAAUCCGGUUAUUAGUUAUUUUGAACAAAUCCCGAAACUCCAAACUACCCGUUAUCCAAAAAAACCUAAAAUUCCUAAAUCCCCUACACGAUUAGUUACAAAGUUUUUUGACAAGCACUCGCUGCAAUUGGCCGCGUAAACCAAAAGCCUAUCAAUAAAUAGGAACACAUCCCGACAAGUUCCCAAAAAAAUAAAUUUGCAUUAAAUUGGAACUAGUAACCAAUCCUAACAUGGAAGUAUGUAAAAAACUUAUAUAAACAAAAAAUCUCAAAUAUCGCAGCGGGUUAAUUUAAAAUAGAUGUGAGUGGUUAUUUGUAAAAAUAUGACGUGGGAUGACCGUUAAAACCGAGGCUUUAAUAGAGAUAGAGAUAGAGAUGUAUGACGAAGACAAGCCGUCAGAUAUUAUGUUAUGUCCGAUGGCCCAAGGAAACCGUUGGACAUUAGUAUUACUUCCGACUGGUGUCCGUGAGACCACGAAAAUUAGGCAAGCACAGUCGGAUGUUUUCUUUGUUUCAUGUUGUGCAUGAUAGGUAAUAAAAAAUUAUCUGCCAUUGCUAACCAUGACGAAAGAAUGAAGCUCGGUGUCGAAAGAAAAGCACAAUUUUAUUUGCCUUGACGUUUUUUUAUUGUAAGUUAUUGUAGUGGGAGUCCCUACAUUAUUUUUUAUAUCAAAGAAUGAGUAUCUAUAGGUUACAUGUGGGAUCGAGAGAGAGGUUACAAUGUUUGUGUCUAUAGACUAACAGAGGGUUUUGUUAUAUAACAGUUGAGCAUAGUAUCUCCCUCUUGAACAAUUCUUUACAAUUUUUUACAGUUCCUUAUAGUUUUAUUAUAUAACUUUUUCUGCAUUUCUAGAUACAUAAUUUUAUUUGUCUCGACGUUGACAAGUACAAUAGAGAUUAGAUUAAAUUGAACAGUUCUACUACAGUGAUAUAUGGUAAUUGAUCGCAGGGGGUCCGGCUAUUAGGGGGGAAUUAGGACCGGAGGUGGGAAUUAGGACCCUGUCAUGCUGGAGGUCAAGGAGUUGGUGCCCGCCGUACUAAGAAGAAGUCAAGUGCUUGCUUGAUCUAGCUAGUAAAACGUGUACGACACAUGUUGGUUUGGUGGAACUGACACAUAUUAUAUUCCACAAGACGAACAAGCAAAAAUGCUGUCAAAAGAAAAGCCAUAGUGGUUGAAGGACGAACCUGCCUGGUGAGUUGAAGGAACCUGCCCAGUGCACAACUCAAAAGAAAAGCCAUAGUUUUCACUAUGUCGAUGUCGACAAGUAAAUAGAGAUUAGAUUAUAUUAAACUGGACGUGGUUCUACCACAGUAGCAUAGUGGUUGAUCGGCAUGGGAAAACCUUCUACGGGGAAGAACGCUAUUAUCGCCAUUGCCAUUAGAACAGGAGGUGGAGGAUCAACGUAGUUGCAUUGCGACGGAACAUAAAUAUUCAAUAUAAUUUUAAAACACAGCAAUUACAUAAAAUGAACAAUUUAUAUAAUAUCACAGACCUCAAUAUCUCAUAAAUUCUCUGCAAAAAACCACUACAAAAUUAAAUUCGGGAUCCCGAGCGUCUCCUCCUAUCCCUCAACUGUUCAGCCACACAUCGUCGGUGGUGGCGUCUCCUCCUGCUCUCCCUCCGUUGUUCUUAUCUCGUUACCUACAGAUGCGUGUGGUGGUAGAGAGUCGCGGCAGUGGUUCGAGGCACUUGCCGAUAGAGGAAGAUAAAGACGGCACCGCGUGCGGGAUGCGACGGUGAUGACUAGUGAGUUGGACUCUAAAAAGAUGAUCUCUACUUGAUGUCUUCUAUGGUGGUGUGAAAGAAUUUGGAUGAGGGUGGUGGAGACAGAGAAAGAGAUGGAAAGUUGAGGGUUAAUAUACGACGACAACAUUGAGGAGGAAGGCGUGAUUGGUUACACAUGCAAGCAAGAGAUAAGUCUUAUCCACUAGUAGAAAAGAGCUCAAAACCUGCGGUGGGAUUUAAUUUUUACAGACGGAUUCGGUUAUCAUCCGUCAGUGCUAUUUCUAGUGACGGUUCCUUAAAAAACCGGUACUAGAAAUCAUAUUUCUACAUGCGAUUUGUUAAGAAAACCAAAUGUGGAAAUCUAUUAUUUCUAGUGGCGGUUUUCUUAAGAAACUGCCACUAGAAAUCAUUUUUAUCCUUAUUUUCUUGAGUUUUUCAAACGACCUUGGAUGAUAAACCACCAAUAUAAAAGUUGUAGAUCUUGAAAAGUUAUGAAACCUUGUAGUUGACAACUUUUUAAAUUGAAAUCAUCUCAGCUCUCAAAAAUUGCAUUCGAAUUUGUCAAAUUCAAAAUGCAAUUUUUUGCAAACGACCUUGGAUGGAAAAAUAUCAAGAUAAAAUUGUAGAACUUCAAAAGUUAUGAAAUUAUGUAGUUGACAAUGUUUUCAAUUGAAUUCGUUUACAGCCUCAAAUAGUCAAUUUAUACUCGGAAUGUUCUAAUAUGUGAGCAACAAAACUGCAAUAUAGACACAAGGCACGUCAUAGGUGGAGUGGUAGAGGAUAUUUUAUGUUUCCUAGAAAAGAUUUUCACUAGCGGUUUUAUUACCUCGACUGCCAGUGAAAAUCGAUUUUCACUAGCGGUUUUACUAGCCCGACCGCUAGUGGAAAUCGAUUUCCACUGGCGGUUCUCAGUUACCCGUCUGUACAAAUAAUUUUAAAGAAACUGGUACAAUGUUCGUCGUUGCGACAACACACAAUCAUAUUUGAUAACUAUAAAAAUAAAUUUAAUAUCAAAGUGCGCAUAUGGUCCACAUAUUAGAUAUUAAACCGAUAAAAAACAAAUAUUAUAAUUUAUCUUAGUGACAACAUUUUAACUUACACGUGACGACGUUUUCAUGUACUAGUUAAUGAUAAAAAUAAAUAAUUACCUUAUCAAAAGAUCACUCAUUGUACAAAUAUGUUUAUUUUGAUGUACAUAUUAUGAUUUCUUACAUCUGACAAUGUGUAGAAGUAACAAUGUUUUACAUUAAUAACAUAUGAAGUGAUGUCACUUAUUGUAGAAGUGACAAGGUGGCCUCCUACGCCUCCUUGUGGUCCCUCUCGGCCACAUGUUUAAGCUAAAAGGCAAUGAUGGGGAAGGUGCGUCAGAGCCCGGCGAGGGUGUGCAACAUGAGCUUGGUGCCGGAGGGGUUGACCUACGAACAUUAUUAUAGGUCGGUGAGCGCGGUGGACGGGGUGGCGCUAGCGCGACAUGCACGGAGGGUCGUUGGCGACCAUGCGCGGCAUGCAUGGAGUUUGUUUGGAGCGUGGUGGCGGGUCGCAGCCGUGGCAUCCGAUCAUCUGUUCCGUUGAGCCUCAGGGUGGGGGCAACGUUUGGGGCGGGCCGCAAUGACACCUGGUCUCGUGCGUCGUUGGCGACGACAAAAUCGAGGCUGGGGCGCCGUCAGCGGAGGCGAUGGGAUGGGGCCAAGGUUGCUUGGUGAUCGGGGCAGGGGAUCGGGUUCUAUUGUUUUUGGGGCUGGGGCAGGGGAUCGGGUCUCGUUGUUUUCGGGGCCGGGGCGGGGGAUCGGGUCCCGUUGUUUUCGGGGCCGGGACUGCGGGAUUGGGGCGCGCGGGAUCGUUCGGAUGGUGGGCAAAUCAGACGGCUUAGAUUGCAUAACGGUACAAUGGACGGUUGAGUUUGCGUAACGGUAGAACGGUUGGGAGGCAGCCUACCCCUUGCAGCCUUAAUAAGUAGUAGAGAUUAUACGACGGUAUGAUGGUGCACUUUCCCUUUGUUGACUUCUCUUCGUCUUCUUUUUUUGGGGGGGGUGGGAGUUGACUCUUUCUAUAUACAUUGGUGAUUAGUGAGCACACGAAUAGUUGGUCUCUUCGCUUCUUAGUUGGUCUCCUCAGCUGGUCUCUUUCAACGUGCUCCUUGAUUUGUUUUUUAAUGACAAAUAACAGUGUUUGUGUUGGUUCAUUGCACAACCACAAACGUACAUAGAAAUAGUCAACUCACAAAAAUUAUAGAAAUAGUCAGCAAUGCUUGUUGCCUUGUGGAAUAUAUAUCUGUCAGCUCCACACCAAACGAACUUGUGUCUUACAAGUUUUACUAGAUCAAGCACUUGAUUGCUUCUUAAUACGUAGCUUUACACUAAUACGUGAAGGACAGGAUGGCUUAGCAUCAUAUAAAAUACAGAGCAGUUUUCCCUUGUCGGUCUUUUUUUUGCUAGAUAUAUAUUUAACUCUCCCCCAUUCAGGCUAUCGCUAGCAGCUUCCCUAUGUCACCUCCUAUCGUCUCACUCUAUUUCGAACUUCACUAUAUAAACAGUACAAUCAAUCUAUAGUACGAAACAGUGUUUUGCACGGUCAUAUACACGCUCUGCUGAGCACGGCCACAUCGAUCACCCGUCGUCACAAUGACUUUUUUUUGUCAAUUAUAUGACAUAAAGUACUCGGCAAAGAGAUCGUUGCCAAUAAACUGUUCAUCACACUCGACAAAGCAUUUGCCAACUGUCAUUGAGGCUUUGAUGAGUGCCGCAUACACUCCGCAAAGAACAUUGUUCCGGUAGUGGUUGUUACAGUUGGUUUGGUGUGAAACUGAAAAUGUAUAUAUUCCACAAUUUGCAAAAGCAAAAAAAAUGGUGAACAAGCUAGUAACCAUUGCAAACAUUAAUCUGUUAUAUAUGACUCGUCAAGUGAUCACGGAUGAUGAAACGGAGAUUGUUGGAUAUAGUUACGACUAUAUGAGGUGCUGUCCUUUGGUUCGUAUAUUUGUAAUGUGAUAUGUAAUUGGUAACGUUAAAUUAUAUUUGUUUAAUUAUUAAAAUAGAAAAUGAUACCGACUUAUUUAAACUUAUUACUGUUGGUAACUGAGCGUGAAUCAUUAUCAUUAUUACAAUUUACAUUAUAUUUCGUGGACUAAAUGACAGAAGAUAUUAUACGACGGUGGUGCACUUUGGUGGGGGGAUUUGACUCUUUCUAUAUACGUUGGUGUGAGCACAAGAAUAGAUCGUUCCAUGAACCAUUAUGACAGUCCAGCCACAGCAACAAAUUUGUCUUCUCAUCUACGAGAUGGGGUAGAAAUGGAUGUCCAAUCGUCCGUUUUUUAUAUGUAUCCAUCGACGGAUCCUCCAUUAUUUUGCAGUUUAUUAACAAUUUAAAAUUUUGGAUCACUAACCAUCUGAAUGGCUUGUCGCAUCGUCUCGUCCUGCGUCACUGCGUGCAUUGACUUGAUCUGAAAAUUUGUUUGAUUGCCUCUAUAUGUGGAGCAUGAGUUGUACAAGUAGAUAUAAAACAAAUUAUUUUGAGGUCUUUUGGCUGCAUCCACUCAUACGGCAAAAAUACUCGUUUCUGAUCAGCCUAGAUCGGGCGAGCGUGGUACGAUCGUCCAGCUAACCAAUCAGCCGGUAAGGGAUUACUAUAAAUCUUCAAUACGCAGUUCGCUGGUACCUAGCCACUCAAAUACACAAAAAGAAAAGAAAUAACACAUAAAAGGCAUCGUAGGUUUAAACCGCUGAAAUAAGAUAACUCUAUUGUGUCGUCAUCAGCAGGUUCAGGUUGCUAGAGACUAUUUCUCCAGGUCGGUUGAUAGGUUCAACCAAAGACUUGUUCAGCUAUUAAUACGUACACGUCGCAACAUGCGCUCGGGCAGGCUAUAUAAACCUCACCGUCCCCAUGCCCAAAGCAUCAACAACCAUAGACACAAACACAACAAGCUAAUAAGAAGCUAGGUAGCUGAAUAUUAAGAGAGCACAAACACAAACGCGAGUGCAAAACCAAAUGGCUGCCUCGACCUACUUCCUUCUUGUUGCUUUUCUAGCAUUGGUCACUUCUCAUGCCAUUGCUUCUGAUCCUAGCCCGCUCCAAGACUUCUGUGUUGCCGACAAAGACUCUCCGGGUAUGCGUGCUCUCGUCUUGACUUAUGCUGUGUUCUUAUAAUAAUACAUGAUUAAAUAAGGUUCAUUUAAUUUGUUCAAAUCACAUCUACAUACAAUAAGCAUUUCUAGUUAUGCAUGGCCCAAUGGCCUAUUCUCCAUCUAAUUGCUCACCUUCGUCAAUGCAUACAGUCAAGGUGAAUGGAUUUGUUUGCAAGGAUCCCAUGGCUGUGAACGCUGACGACUUCUUCAAGGCUGCAAAACUUGACCAGCCAAGGGACACCACCAAGAGCAAGGUGGGAUCCAACGUUACUUUGAUCAAUGUCUUGCAGCUGCCUGGACUCAAUACGUUGGGCAUCUCGUUGGCUCGCAUUGACUAUGCGCCCUUAGGACAGAAUCCUCCACACACACACCCACGUGCCACGGAGAUCCUCACCGUGCUUGAGGGGACACUCUACGUCGGAUUUGUCACCUCCAACCAAGCUGACAGAAGUAACAAGCUAUUUGCCAAGGUUCUCAACAAGGGCGAUGUGUUUGUAUUCCCCCAAGGACUAAUCCACUUCCAGUUCAACCCGAUCCAUGACAAGCCAGCAGUCGCGCUCGCUGCUCUAAGUAGCGAGAACCCUGGAGCUAUUACUAUUGCCAAUGCAGUCUUUGGAUCAAAGCCAUCUAUCUCGGAUGAUGUCCUAGCUAAGGCAUUUCAGGUGCAAAAGGGUACAAUUGAUUGGCUUCAAGCUCAAUUUUGGGAGAACAACCACUAUUGAAAAAUAAAUCAAGUUAUGGUUCAUUGUAUGGGGAUAUAAUGAUUUAUUUAUAUUUUACAUACUACUCUAUGUAUUUAUUUUUCUAGACUUUCAGCUGAUAAUAAAAUAAAUGGAUUGUAUUUAUGAACUAUAAUUGUAAUGUGUCCCAAUUGUGGUUCUACCACCAUGUCCUUAAUCGAAAGUGCAUGUAAUGUAUAUGGCACUCUCUCGUUUCCCAUUUUAUUGAGAUGGUUCAUAUAUUAAGCCAUCUCUAGAACGAUUGACAUAAUUACACCACUCCUAAAAUUCCACUAUUAUCAGGAAUGAUUAUCAUAAAAGAACUGUCCUUAAAGAUCACAUUUCAUGGGUGGAUUCUUAUGCCAACCGUUCCUGAAAAAUAGAAGAUUUCUACUCAAAAGGUGCUAGCUAGCAUGUUUGAGGACCAAAAAAAUUCAUAGAUUUUCAAAUAUAGUCAUUAAGUGACAAGCUUUAUAUCAAAUUUGUAAAGCCCAACAAUAUCUAAAACUUUAUAGGUAACAACUUUUUAUUUAAGACCAUUUAUAUACCUAAAUAUAUGUUUUGUCUUCGAAGAGUUGAAAAUUCAGAAUUUCAAAUUUCAUUUCUAGUGGCAGUGGGCUUUCAUUUUCCACCGUCAACACUUCUAUAAAAAAACUCUUAUAUAAUUAUAUAGUGGUUUGAUAUUUUUAUACAUGGCAUACCAGUAAUAUAAAUUCAACAUUAUGCUUAAUUGGUCUCUGUAAUACCCACUUUGUAAGAAAAACCUAAAAAGAGAAAUUUCAUUCCUUCAUAUAUGUGUGUCAUCUUUAUUUAUCAUUUCAUGUGGACACGCCACUUAACCAGAAUAAAUGGUUAACAAAAGACACUCAAAUAACUUGUGCAUCCUUUGGAGUUUUGUUUGCUUGUGCAUUAAAAUAAUUACAAUAAUAAUGCUAGUAGAAAUAAAACAAUGACUUGAGAUGAAGUUUGAAUCCUAAAUUGAGAAUUAGGGUUUGAAAUAGAGAAGGAAAGAGAAAAAUACUAUACAAUACAAAAAUAAAUUUAUAAAUAGAUAAAUUUAUUCCACAAUAAUUAUUCAAAUCAUAUACUCAGAAAUUUGAGUACAAGUUCACCACAAAUUUGAAAUUCAAAUUUAGAUUCAAAAAUAAGAAUGAAAAGAAAAUGAAUCAAAAAAGGAAAAUAAAAAGAAAAGAAUAAAGACACCUAACUGGGCCGCUAGGCGGUAUUUCGGCCCGUUCACUGUUACUUCGCGCGGCUCGUCACUUCGUGGAGGCGUGCUAACACGUGAGGCCAUCUGGCCAGCCACACACCGCGCGAUACAGCAGCGUUGGCUCGCGCCGACACAUGGGACCAUCUGGGCAGCCACCCACGCACGAACCCGCGGACGCCACGGUCACCUGCCCCACCUGUCAGAGAACACGAUGGAUCUUCUUCGUUCCGCCAUUGUCGCGCUGACCAGCGACAAUCGCGCCACUCCGCCGUUUUCUGGGGGGUUGUUGGACUGGAGCACCCGAGCUAUAAGGACCGGCUCCGGAUGCGGUUCCCCACCUUUGCCUACUCGUCGCGCCCCAACCAUUGAGCUCAGUGAGGGAGAGAGAGAAUCACUUCGCCGCCGUCCUUGGGCCGCCACCGGGAAUCCUCGCACCGCGAACACACCAUCUGCGAAAUUCGGGCCCGAGGCUUCAUGUUUUUGCGAGGAAUACAUGUGUGGUGUUGCGGUGACUGGGGUACCGUCGGUGCGCUUAGAAUCACUCGCCGGUGUUCUUCCCCCGCGUCACGUGGACAACUGCCUCCACACCAUCAAUCGUCGUCGGGUAACUACUCUACUUGCCAAACUUUGUCUUCGCUACGUGUAUUCCGGUUUAGAUCGAAGCUUUAGGCGCGGGAUCAGGUAAUGGGGGAUUCCGGCGAUGGCGCUCCGCCGUGGUGGCCCUGGUCUUCCCUCCGGCCGUCGUCUAGGUGUAGGAGACGUUUUAGCCACUGUAACCUGUUAGAUGUGCGGCUCAGAUUGGAAAUCAGUUACCGAUUCGGACACGUUCGCCUGAGACCGUCGAUUAGAGAUCCGAGGGUAGGGAUCGGAUAUGGGCAUUGUAAAACCCUAGCUGUUGAUCUGUCAACAUACGCCCAGGAUCAGAGGGGGAAAUACAUCGUUUCAUUUAAUUAAAUCAGCGCCGUUGAUUCCCAAUCCAACGCAUAGCAUUGCAUACGGAUUCAGGUGUGGGCUUGAUCUAAUCGGAACCCUCGGUUGUCGAUCGGACGGCUCUGACGAAGGAUACCCCUUCGGCCCUGUAAAACUGCAAAAGAGACCCUAUGCUAUUUUAGAUUCAACCCGUCGUCCAUUUGUGGGGUGCUCUGUGUCUUAGAGAUUUUUACCCCGAGACCCCUGAGUUCCUCUGGUUUUGUGCGCCUAGCCCAUGAGAGUAAGAAAUCCAGGAAAUUAAAUAGAAAAUAGAUUUUUAAUAUAUAAAUAAGUGCUAGAACUUGUAAAAUUCAUAGAAAAUUCAUUUUUAGUCCAAAUUACUCCAUUCCAGUUUCUAAAAUUUUGUAAUAUUAUUUUCUAUCACUUAGAGUCUCUGUUUUGACAUGAAAACAGUAAGAAAAUUUAUUUUAGAGAUGGCAAUGGGUACCCGAAACCCGAAUACCCGACGGGUUUUAUCCGAUAUGAAGGCGGGUACGGGAUAAUUUCUCUACCCGCGGGUAUGUUAAUGGGUAAAAACCUCUACCCGUUGGGUAGACGGGUACGGGUAUGGGUUGGUACUACCCAUACCCGUCUACCCGUGGGUAAAAUAUACCCGCAUCAAUAGCACUAUAAACAUCUAAUAGAGUCCAACUUAGCUAGAAUAAAACUCUUCUCUAGUUAUCAUUUGUCUAGAUACCAAGUUAUGUAAUCAUAUGAUUUGUUAUAUGUAAAAUUGAAGUUGUUUUUAUAUGUUUAUUUAAUAUUUUGAGUGAUUGGUAUAUUGGAAUUUAAUUCUUUCCUAGCGGGUACGGGUUACCCGACAGGUAAAAAUACCCGCGCGGGUACGGGUAUGGGUAAGAUUUUAUACCCGCGAGUAUAUAUGGGUAACCCGACGGGCAGAAUUUUUUUUGAUGGGUACGGGUAUGGAAUGAUACUACCCGACGGGUAUGUACCCGUUGCCAUCCCUAAUUUAUUUCUCAUUUAAUCCUAUUUUAAGCAUAUAAAACCUUUGGAAAUUCAUAACUUAAAAUCUAUAACUCCAAAAUUUAUGAUUCCUAUUCCUAGGAUUUUAUUUUAAUGUGUAGAUUAUUAUUAUGUAUUUUUUUACAAGUUUGGUGUGAUGUUAAUUUUCUCUAUAUACUGUGCUUGUUUGUAUUGUGGCGAGUAGAAGAGCCUGUGACUGAGGAUCCUGGUGCCCAGCAGAUAGAAGUUGCUGAGCAGGAGCUCAUUGAAGACAAGUUGUGCCCUUGACCACUUUUUACCCAAUAAUGUUCUUUAAUAUCACUUAUUCAUGCAUAGGUUUGACCCAAUAGGUCACCCUAGUAUGUUUAUCCAUUUUACCUUGUUUACCCCUGAAUCAUUUGGGUAGUUAUGCUAUUGCCUCACAUGGUUUUGGGUUAAUAUUUCAUUAUAUACAUGUUCCAAUUAUUUUGUUAUUCUAUUUAUGUUCAUGUCAAGAUCAUUAAUAUUAAUUGGAACAUGGAGCUUAACUUGAGAAACACGUGCCACCACAAGGGUGGAAUGGGACACCCUUGGCUGACUAAUUAGGAAAGCUAGUGGAAGACUACCUUACCCGAAAGGGGCAAGGGCAGUAGGAGAGUUGCAUGCAAGGAGGUUCUUGGGUUGAUUUUUCUGCGAUGGCGGUCAGACGAGGAUUCUUGCAGAUGCCCUUCCCAUAAACUGUAGCGGGUUUUCGGAAGCUAGUGGAACUUUGUAAAGGCCUCGUAGUGUUUCCCUGCCUCGCUUCCUUGGUAGAGGUGUAUGGGAGUCGCGAUCCCUUGGUAGAUGGGUAACAUGACUUGUGGGUACAGGGUACAACCUCUGCAGAGUGUAAAACUGGUAUACUAGCCGAGCUCACGGUCAUGAGCAGCUCAGGACUUAAAUUCAAUUUGUCAUUUGCAUUGCAUGAGAUUAUUUAUUAAUUUUGUUCUAUUACUUUUAUUAUGGUUUGGUAUUUACUUACAUCUAGUAACUGCUAAUAAAAAUUUGACCAACUAAUUAAAAGCAAUGCUCAGCUUUAACCCUAUUGUUGAUCAGCCUUACACAUCACAUGAACUCCCACCUUUGGUGAGUUCAUGCCCACUGGUUUCCCCACAACUUGUUGAGCUAUGAUCAUGUGUGAGCUCACCCUUGCUGUCUCAAACCCCCCACAGGAGAAGAACAGGUGGUUCAAGAGGAGUCACACUGAGUAGUUUGAUCUGAUCUAGGUGGCGUUUCCCAGUUGACUUUUGGCGCCAAGGAUGAUCCUUAGUUCGUUUUAUAUUUAUCUUUUAUUUUGUAAUAAGACUUCCACUAUGUAAUAAAUAGUCUGAUGUUAUUGUGACAUUUAUCUCUAUACACUCUGUUAUUAUAUAUGUUGUCUUCUUAGCGCAUGUAUGAGAUACACCCGACUUUGUUCCUUAAAGCCCGGGUGUUACAGAAGUGGUGUCAGAAGAAAUGUUGACUGUAGGACGAAACCUAGUUAGUAAUGGACAAAACCUUUACCUCCUUACCUUACUCUGAUUCAUUCUAUACUUAUCUUAUCUUGAUCCUGUCUCACCUUUUGUUGUCAUACUCUGAUUACUCUUAUCUUUUCUACUCUAAGAUAAGGUGGAUUUCACACCUUGGGAUCCUACAAUUUAUGAACUUUUUAAGAGAUAGGGAACCUAAGACGAAAUUAAAACUAUUUUCUCUAUUUAAAAAUGUUGGUUGAUUGUUCUGAUGAUAAAUGCCUUAUUUGCUUUUUGAUUGAUUGAAAUAUUAUAAAUGGACAUCUUAGCAUGUACCACCGUAAGGUAAUGAAUUAGCUUUGGUAGGUAAAACAUUAAUCUGCUUAGCUAAUAAAUCCCCUAAAGUAACAUGCCUCGUAAUCACCUGCCUUGUCUACAAUCCUUUCUCUCUUACCAUAUGUUUCUAACUCAGAUGGUCAAUACCAGGAAGGGUGGUGGAAUUGAUCUACCUCCCAAUCAACACACUCGGAGGAUAUUUAGACAACCACAGCAACAACAACUUGAGAUGGAUCCUCCACCACCUCCACCAGCAGGAGUUGACCCAACUGUUGCAACACAGAUGAGGAUAAUGCAACAAAUGGCUGACACUAUGGCGGAUAUGCACGCGCAGAUGCGGCAGGAGCACCAGGAGAUGCGCCAAGAGCGAGAAUAUAUACGACAGGAGAUGCGCCAAGAGCGAGAGGAGAUACGCCAGGAGAGAAGGACGCAGCAGCAACAACAAUAGCAACAGCAACAUCAACAAGCACUACUGCCUCCACCUCCACCACCAGUUCCACCCCGGGACAAGCACCGGGAGUUCAUGAGUCAUAAGCCACCGACAUUCGCUAGUUCUCCUGAUCCACUGGACGCUAAUGAUUGGAUGAAGUCUAUGGAAAAGAUGUUGAUUAUCGCACAAUGCUCUGACCGAGAUAAGGUUCUAUAUGCUUCUGGACGUCUCACAGGUCCCGCUGCUGAUUGGUGGGAUUCAUACACUGCUGCCCACGAUGCUGCUGAUACUAUAUCACAUGGGCGGAGUUCGCUACGCAGUUUAGGAACUAUCAUAUACCAGCUGGACUGAUGAAGAUUAAGAAGAAAGAAUUUCUAUCGCUGAAGCAGGGGAACAUGUCAGUCAGCGAGUACCGCGAUAAGUUCAUCUAGCUACCUAGAUAUGCACCUGAUGAAGUUGCUGAAGAUGAGAGGAAGCAGGAGCAUUUUAUUGAAGGACUCAAUGGACCUCUGCAGUAUGCUCUAGUGGCACAUACAUUUCCAUCAUUUCAGAGGCUGCUUGACAAGGCCCUAGCUAUUGAACACAAGCGUGUUCAUCUAGGAGAUUUGAAGAGGAAGGCUAUAUCCCAAGGACAAGGAAGCAGCAGUGUUCGACCUCGCUACAGUUCACCCCAGGGUACACUAGUUCGCACUGGCGGAGGCCAGCGCCCAGCUCAGCACUCACCUCAGGGGACUCCACUGACUCGUCAGGCUACCCCCACUGGCACCCCGACGAAAUUUUCAGGACAGAGUGCAGGCACUACUUGCUACAAGUGUGGAAAGACUGGACAUUAUGCAAAUGUUUGCCCACAAAGGAUUGCUACUACCCCAGUUCAGAAUAAGCAACAGACUCCAGGAUCUGGCAAGGGAUUCUCUAUUGCCAGGGUUAAUCAAGUCAGCGUUGACGCUACUCCUGAUGGAGCUGACAUUGCACUUGGUAUAUUUUACAUUAAUGCAAUUCCUGCAACAAUAUUAUUUGAUUCUGGUGCUACACAUUCAUUCAUGUCUGCUCGAUAUGCCAAUACAAAUGAGUUACCACUGAAAAAUAUGAAAACACCAAUGAUAGUAAUUAUAACGCCCCGAAUUUUAGAGUUGAAUUUUUUCUUUCUCCAGCACUCAUCAAAUUUGGGCGUUACCUUUCCUAUUUUUCUUUUCACCUCGCCAUGCCUCGUUCUUUUUCAAAAUUCUAAAGAGAGUUAACUCUAUGUCGUGUAUUAAUAAAACCUAGAAGUGGAUUUUUCUUGGGUUGUUGCAUCAUGCUGGGCCACACAUCUAUCCUUUUGUGUGUAUUUGCUUGGUUUCCGUGAAGUAUUCAUUUAUUAAGAGUUUAGAAUUAAAUAGAAAAUAGGAAAAACCACCAAAAAACCCUCCCUCCAUUCCCUGCCGGCCUUUUGGCCCGUGGUGCGGCCCUGGCCUCUUUGGGCCUGCGGCGUGGCCCACCUGGCGCACCCCCCGCUUCCCCGUGGCCUGCUUUCCCCCUCUCUCCCCUUCGUGUCUUGGGCUGGCGUCCCGUGGCCCAGCAGCUCUUCCCCCCCCCCCGCACGGCUCGCUGCCUCUUCCCUUGGCGCGGCCCAGCCCCCCACGCCCGGCCCCUUCCCCCCUACUUUCAGCCUGCUGCGCGGCGCGCUCGCCCGGUCGGUGCGGGCAUGGCGGUUGCCCAGCUGCCGCCGCCACCACCCAGUGGGGCCCACCUGUAAGUCUUAGAGAAAUCGCCCCCUGUUCAUCUCUCUCUCGCCCACGACGCGCGUUUCUCCCUCCCCUCACGCAGUUCGCUCGCCCGAUGCCCUCUUUCUCUCCUCCCAUCGCCCAGCCAUGCCCGUCCGCGCCGCCAUGCCCGUCCGCGCUGCCAUGCCCGUCCGCGCCGUCGUCGCCAUGCCCGUCCGCCGCCAUGCCCGUCGUCGCCGCCAUGCCCGUCCGCCGCCAUGCCCGUCGUCGCAUCGCCCCAUCUCCCCUUCCUCGUCCCCUCCGCCCCAUCUCCCUCCUCCCUGUGCCCGCGGCGCGGCCUGGAGCUCGGCCCGCGCGCGCAGUGCCCCAGCCUCGGCGCGAUGCGCGGCACGGCCAUGGCAUCCCGCCCGGAGCGGCACGGUCGGCCCCGCUACCUGCGCGGUCCGGCUCGGCCCCCGGCGCGGCCCCGCUACCUGCGCAUGGCGCGGUCAGCCCCUGGCGUGGCCCCUGCUGCCUGCGCGCGGCGUGCCCGGUGCGACCCCUCUCCUGCUCGUGGCGCGCAGCGCGGCGUACGCGUGGCUCGGCCCCGACGCGGUUUGUUCGCGGCGUGCGCAGCGCGGCCUGCUCGCGCUCAGCCCCCGGCGCGGCCCCGUCCCGCGCACGGCGUCUUGGCGCAGUUCGUCGUGCUCCUGGCGCGACGCGUAGCGCUCCGCCACACAUGUGACGUGCCCGUCUACCCCUAGACGAGCCUGUCUACCCCUAGACCACCCCGUCUACCCCCAUGUAUUUUAUGCGCGUUGAGCGUGUCGUUUAUUUUAUGUAGUUGAACUCCACUUAGAAUUGACCAUGUUAAUUAUCUCACGUAGUUAAAUGACGACUUAAGUAAUGUCGGCCAAUUGGAACAAUUGUAACUCUGUUAGUGUAUGUGAUUAAUAUCUGUUAGUAUGGCUAGAUAGAGUUAGACGAUGUAAUAAUUAAUUGCACACCUACACGUAAUACGUCUCGACUAUAGCUUUAACCACUGCGAGUCCCUUCUUUUUCUCUUUCUAGUAAUUGUGAAUGCAAAUCGUAUGUCAUAUACAUGUUCAAUUGAUCUGCUCUCUUGUAUGGUGUACUGUUUAUUUCCUAAUUCAAAGAGAUGGAUGUAUGUUUGCACUCGCAUAGAUAACGAUCUGGUUGAGGAGUCCGAAGAACUCGCAGGAGAAGACCCUGAGCAGCAGCUGGUUGGUGGAGGCAAGUGUCCCUUGACCCACUUAUGUUUUAUACAUUCCUUAAUUCACUUUCCGCAUUUACACAGUUUAUACCUAAGGAUUGACUAGCUUUUGUUAUUCAUGUCCUUGCUUACCUAUUUGGGUUGGAUUAUUCUGGUUUAGCUUCAUGCUAGUGCUUCACAUUAAUCAAUGAACAUGAUGAGAUUUAUCAAUGAUAUGUUAUUUCCCUUUUUUAUUAUGAUGAUAUACUUGUGGCAUUUAAGGGGACUCGAGCGGUUUCUCGAGUGCCUCUCCGUAAGGACCUGUUCGUUGGAUAACCGCCUGGGAAAACAGUGCAACCAUGAGGGUGGAAUGGGACGCCCUUAGCUGAAUAAUUAGAGGAACCGGGGUGUAGUUCGCUUCGCCGUCGUGCGUUAAUGGGGCUCGGUGUAUGCGGCUUGCUCUGCCAAGGUUGGUUCGCCCCUUGCGGAGGAGUGCGGUGUAUUUAGGAAACCUAACGGGCGGCUACAGCCUCGGGGAAUCUUUGUAAAGGCUUCGUAGUGAUGCCCUGCUUGGCCACCUAGGUAGUGGUCAAUGGGGAGUAGCUCUCUCCGGGUAGAAAGGGAAUCACGACUUGUGGGUAAAGUGCGCAACCUCUGCAGAGUGUUAUGAAACUGAUAUAUCAGCUGUGCUCGUGGUUAUGAGUGGCCAAGGGAGCUCCAUUGAUUAGAGAUACUUGAUCAGAGAUGUUUGGAUUACAGGUGGUGAUGAGAAUGAUGGUUUUGGUAUUGACUAUGGUAAUGGUAAGUGGUAUUCUUUCCAUUUGGAAAGGGUACAUUUGGGUUAAUAACUUGGGUUAAUGCUAAAACCUGGCUCUCUACUAGUAAUAAUAAUCUGACCAACUAAAAGCAAUUGCUUGACUUACCCCCACAUAAAGCUAGUCCACUAUAGCCAAACAGGACAUUUGCUGAGUAUGUUGAUGUGUACUCACCCUUGCUCUACACACCACCCCCCCCCCCCGUCCCCAGGUUGUCCAUGUUGCAACCACUGCUCAGGAGAAGAUGAAGCCGUGGAGGAAGACUUCCAGGAGUUCCAAGAUUACGAUGAGUUUUAGGCGUGGGUUAGCCGCAACCCCCAGUCGGUUGCUUGUGAAGGCCGCGUGUAUCUACGUUUCGUUUUCGCACUUUGAUUAUUGUUAAAGACUAUGUGGAUGUCUCAGACAUUAUGAUGUAAUUGACUAUUAUUACACUUUUUAUGUUUUUAUUUGAGCACUGUGUGAUGAUAUCCAGUUAUGUAACUGUUGUGUACGUGAAUUGCUGAUCUUGGCACGUAUAUGGUUCGCGUUCGGUUUGCCUUCUAAAACCGGGUGUGACAGUAAUUACACCUAAAGGGCCUGUUGAGGCAAGUUAUAUGACACAUAGAUUGACAUUAACAAUUAUGGGAAGAGAAUUCUGGGCUACUGUUAUAAUAUUAGAGGCAAGCAAUAUAGAUCUGAUCCUUGGUAUGUCAUGGUUAAGAAAGGCAAAGGCCAUUAUACAAUGUGGUAGGGGUACUGUAGAACUCACCAGCCCUAAAGGAGAAGGUUUCAAGUUGAAAUUGCAGUAACAACCUCUUCCAGACGUGCGAUGUUCUUUAUAGCUGACGAGUUUGUUGGUAACAACAUCCAUGUGGUUAGGGAUUUUCCGGAUGUCUUUCUAGAGGAGUUACCAGGGAUGCCACCAGAUAGGGAAGUUGAGUUUGUAAUUGAUCUCUUACCUGGAACUGCCCCUAUUUCUAAAUGGCCAUACAUGAUGUCUAUUGAAGAGUUAAAGGAACUUAAGAAACAAUUAACAGAGUUACAAGAGGCUGGGUACAUUCGUUCGAGUUCCUCACCUUGGGGAGCGCCGGUUCUAUUUGUACAGAAGAAGGAUGGAUCACAAAGGAUGUGUGUGGAUUAUAGAUACCUAAAUGAUGUUACUGUGAAGAACAAAUAUCCGCUGCCCCGCAUUGAGGAUUUAUUUGAUCAGAUGAGAGGUGCAAGGGUAUUCUCGAAGAUUGAUCUCCGAUCGGGUUACCAUCAAAUGAGGAUUAGGCCAUCGGAUAUUCCCAAGACAACUUUCUCGACCCGAUAUGGUUUAUAUGAGUUCACGGUUAUGUCAUUUGGACUAACUAAUGCACCAGCUUAUUUUAUGAAUUUGAUGAAUAAGGUGUUUACAGAGUAUUUGGACAGAUUCGUUGUAGUAUUCAUCGACGAUAUUCUUAUUUAUUCAAAGAGUGAGAGUGAUCAUGAGGAACAUCUGAGAUUGGUGCUACAGAAACUACGGGAUAAUCAACUCUACGCCAAGUAUAGCAAAUGCGAGUUUUGGAUUGGCGAGGUGCCAUUCCUUGGACAUAUCAUUUCUAAUGGAGGGAUAUCAGCGGAUCCUGCUAAAGUCAAGGAAAUAAUGGCAUGGAGCGUACCCACUAUAGUUACGGAGAUUCAGAGUUUCUUGGGGCUUGCAGGAUACUAUCGGAGAUUUAUUGAAGGAUUUUCUAAGAUUGCUAAGCCUAUGACCUCGCUUCUGGAGAAGGGAAGAGAGUUCAAGUGGGACGAGAAGUGCCAAGAUAGCUUUGAUCAAUUGAAGAAGAGGUUGAUGUCGCCACCAGUGUUGGUUAUGCUAGAUCUACAGAAGGGAUUUGACAUUUAUUGUGAUGCCUGUGGCCAAGGAUUGGGAUGUGUGCUUAUGCAAGAAGGACACGUGACUGCCUACGCGUCUCGUUAGUUGCGGAAACAUGAGUUGAACUACCCCACUCAUGACUUAGAACUGGUAGCCGUAGUGCACGCACUUAAGAUAUGUAGACAUUAUAUCAUGGGAACCAAGUGUCAAGUAUACACGGAUCAUAAGAGUUUGAAGUAUAUAUGGCGCUACGGGCGGCGACAGCUUCAGCUCCGGCGAACGUGGCAUCGACGAAUGAGUGCAGGCGUGGCUUAUACAUGGCGGUGAGGGCGGCAACGAUAAAUAGCUUCGGCGGGGCAAGGAGCCGGGAUGGGCCGAGAGAGGGCGCGGGUUGCAGGCGAUGGUGGGACGGCGACGACAGGUCUAGCGGAUGCAGCAUACGACGUGAGAGAGAGCGGGCGGGCACGCGUGGGGAGAGAAAGUGAAACCGCGUGGUCGGGCGUUGUUUCAUUAAAUCGACGUAUGUCCGACGACGUGUGUGGCAGCUGUGGGACAUAAGGAUUACUAGUCAGUUGUCCGUGCGUUGCGACGGCUCACAACAAUACCCUCGUAAACUAUCCACCAAAAAGAUCUCAAGAUUUUUUAUUGAUUGUCUCCACUCUCCGCAUAAUAUUUUUUAUUUGACUAACUGAUGUUGUUGUUUACUCCAUCCAAUGUCUUGGUCCACCAAGGCCAAUGAAGGGAGUGAUUAGAAGAGAUUUCACAACGACCGAUUGAACGAAUAUAGAUUAUAGAAUGACAUAAUUCCACCAUACAGAGACCAAAUAAGAGGAAGUUUGUGAGCUCAAGUUUCUAAAAUAAGUCACAUGAACUCAAACUUAUAAAAAAGAUAGGUCAAAAUAUGGAUUGGUUGCUAAAGUCAGUCAUCAAUAAAAAUUGGAUGUGCUCCAUACAAAUUAUGGUACUUCAUAGCAAUUACUAGCCUUUGAAAUCAACAAAUAACCUUUGAUUUUAUUGCUAGCGUGACAAAUCAUUGCUGCUCCAUCCCAUUUAGCAACCUCAAACACCAUGGAGUCCAUUGCGCCAAUUUGGUCUCAGAAACGACCUAAUGCAUGCAAGAGCCAAGAACACAACGGACGAGCAUCUCGUGGUAGUUCCCGCAUGGAUCUCCAAAUCCUAACACAUAUUUUGCAGGAUCCAUGAGCCAUCAUCAGAAAAAUACAAACCACGUGCAUACAAUAAAUAAAGUAUGAAUACACCCAAAUUAUGUUCAGUCAUUAGCACAACAAAAAACUAACACCCAAAACAACAGCAAAACAACAUAAUAUUUUUUGCAAUGAUAUAAGGAUGAGUGACAGGUACAUAGAAGUGGUAGAAGCAUACCGAGUCGACACCGUGGUAAGGGAAAGGCCAUGUAGACAGGCGAUGCCGAGCCAUCGAACGGGUACCACGCAGCAAAUCAGGGACCCCCAUCCCUCGCCUCCCCCACUUCUAAGGUUUUGUAGAGCAGGAAGGGAAGGGAAGAGGCGGGCAUACCUGUUCAUUGCCGGAGAAGGACACGACAAAUACCUAGGCAUCUGGAGGCAUAGGUAGUAUACAGCUAGAUACAUAUAGGGAGAGAGCACACAAGCGGAGAAAGAAGCCCAGUCGGAGCGGCUCCAAACCGAGAGGCACCCGCACUAGGCGUCAGUCCGAGAAGGGUGAGAGAAUGUGAGUGCCUUCCCAGCCAUGAACCCGCAAAGGCGACACAACAACAACACCAACUCCAUAGAAUAUGCCAACUAUUGUCGCGCCACGGGUCUUGGUUGUCCAAUAUCUCAGACAUGGACUCCUCAUCACCAAGAUAACCUAAGUGUGGCAGGCGUCACUAUGUCCUCCUCGGAGGUACGCACAAAGAAAGGCUAGGAGCAAGACCGACUUGCCCGUACUCGUGUCAACGAGCGUCGGUUGGCUCACGGCUGCGACCGUGGGUGGGGGCAGCAGGUUGGGGAGGAAGAACAAGGCGAAGGUCGGGAAGACGAACGAGUCGUCCGACGACGACGAAAACGAUGGUGCACGCAUGCUGUGAAACGUCCUCGUGGACGUGCAAUAUCCACUGCGCGGGUCGGUGUCGGGGCUGGUGUCGGACGAAUACGGGGAGGAGGUGCCUGCUCUCACGCUCUUUGCCGAGAAUGGGGUGACGCGGAGACGGAGGCAUGAGGGGAGAGAGAAAAGAAGUAGGAUGGCGAACGAGGUCGCGACAAUUGAGGCGAAGACCAUCAUUACCGUGUGGAGGUAUAGAUGGCCAAAUGAGUCGUAUCUGGUGACCCGGCCCGGGGCACGACCCGUUUAAUAGUGCUUGGGCCAGUCCCGCACGAGCGUCGUAUCUUGUUUGGGCUGUAGCCUCGGUCCGUAGUGCUAGUCCGACCCGACACGAUUAUUUUUUAUUUUACAAAUAAUCAUAUAUACAUAUGUACAAUUUAUAUUCAACAUUAAAAACAUCUGAGCAUGAUGUUCUACUGGUUAGACAACUUCACCUAGUGUCUCCCAUUAUUAGAGCGUGGGUUCGAACCCCGCCUCCUACAGCGUUUUUUAACAUUUUACGCUGAUUUAACCAAAUGACCCGAUGGGCUAACGGACCAGGCCGGCAUGGUCAGCAGGACGGCGUGCCGUGCCUGGGCCCGAGCUGCGGCACGUGGGCGUCGAGCCUAGCGGGCCCGUGCCGGGCCGCCUGUUUGGCCCUCUAUAUGCAGAGGUGUGGUUUGGGACGUGGAUGUUGCCUGCGCGGAGGGGACAUACGUGCAACGGGUUAAUUUAAAAUAAAUGUGUCGGGGACCAUAAUUAGGGGUACCCUCAAGAUGCCUAAUUCUCAGCUGGUAACCCCCAUCAGCAUAAAGCUGCAAAGGCCUGAUGGGUACGAUUAAGUCAGGGAUCAGUCCAUACGAGCGACUCGAUCACGCCUCGCCCGAGCCUAGCCUCGGGCAAGGGCAGCCGACCCCGAGGGAUUUCCGUCUCGCCCGAGGCCCCCCUUUAACGGCGGACACAUCUCCGGCUCGCCCGAGGCCUUGCCUUCUCUCAGAAGCAACCCUGACUAAAUCGCCGCACCGACCGGCCGAGUCGCAGGAGCAUUUAACGCAAAGGUGGCCUGACACCUUUAUCCUGACGUGCGCCCCCCUGCAGAGCCGAAGUGACCGCCGUCACUUCGCCGCUCCACUGACCGGUCUGACAGAAGGACAGCGCCGCCUGCGCCACUCCGACUGCAGUGCCACUUGACAGAGUGAGACUGACAGGCAGUCAGGCCCUGCCAAAGGCGCCAUAGGAAACUCCGCUCCGCCCGACCCAGGGCUCGGACUCGGGCUAAGCCCCGGAAGACGGCGAACUCCGCUCUGCCCGACCCAGGGCUCAGACUCGGGCUAAGCCCCGGAAGACGGCGAACUCCGCUUCGCCCGACCCAGGGCUCGGACUCGGGCAAAGCCCCGGAAGACGGCGAACUCCGCUCCGCCCGACCCAGGGCUCGGACUCGGGCUAAGCCCCGGAAGACGGCGAACUCCGCUCCGCCCGACCCAGGGCUCGGACUCGGUCUAAGCCCCGGAAGACGGCGAACUCCGCUCCGCUCGACCCAGGGCUCGGACUCGGGCUAAGCCCCGGAAGACGGCGAACUCCGCUCCGCCCGACCCAGGGCUCGGACUCGGGCAAAGCCCCGGAAGACGGCGAACUCCGCUCCGCCCGACCCAGGGCUCGGACUCGGGCUCAGCCCCAGAAGACGACAAACUCCGCUUCGCCCGACCCCAGGGCUCGGACUCCGCCCAGGCCUCUGCUGAACAAUCUCUGCCUCACCCGACCCAGGGGCUCGGGCGCGGCCUCGGCCAUGGAAGACAGACUCGACCUCGGCUUCGGAGGAGCCUCCACGUCGCCCGACCUAGGGCACAGGCCCGCCACGUCAACAGGAAGCGCCAUCAUCACCCUGCCUCGAGCCGACUCGGGCCGCAGAGAACAAGACCGGUGUCCCAUCUGGCUCGCUCCGCCAGAUAGGCAAUGAUGGCGCCCCGCUAGCCCUGUGACGACGGCGGCUCUCAGCUCCCUUACGGAAGCAGGGGGACGUCAGCAAGGACUCAACUGCUCCGACAGCUGUCCCUCCGCCAGGCUCCGUUGCUCCUCCGACAGCCACGACAUCACACCAGCAGGGCGCCAAGAUCUCUCCGGCCGCCACAUUGGCAUGUACUUAGGGCGCUAGCUCUCCCUCCGCUAGACACGUAGCACUCUGCUACACCCCCAUUGUACACCUGGAUCCUCUCCUUACGCCUAUAAAAGGAAGGACCAGGGCCUUCUUAGAAAAGGUUGGCCGCGCGGGGACGAGGACGGGACAGGCGCUCUCUUGGGGCCUCUCGCUUCCCUCACCCGCGUGGACGCUUGUAACCCCCUACUGCAAGCGCACCCGACCUGGGCGCGGGAUGAACACGAAGGCCGCGGGAUUUCCACCUCUCUCACGACCCGUCUCCGGCCACCUCGCUCUCCCCCCUUCGCGCUCGCCCACGCGCUCGACCCAUCUGGGCUGGGGCACGCGGCACACUCACUCGUCGGCUUAGGGACCCCCCGGUCUCGAAACGCCGACAGUUGGCGUGCCAGGUAGGGGCCUGCUGCGUGCUGACGAACAGCUUCCCGUCAAGCUCCAGAUGGGCAGUCUCCAGCAACCUCUCCGGCCCGGGACGGUGCUCCGUUUCGGGAGUCUUGAGUUUAUGUCCUUCGACGGCAGCUACGACAUGAUACUCCUUCCACCGCCACGUGACAACGACAAUGGCGGCCGACAACCCGCCCGCCGGCGGCGGAAUCGACGACAUCUUCCCCGCGCGGUGGAAGAACAACAUUCGAGCUCGCCCCGUCCUCUCCCCCGCCAACGGAGGAGGAGGCGGGGCAACCAAGGCCAAGCGGGAGGCCUCGCUUCGUCGGCUGUCGAGCGAAUCGACGUCCCCAGCGCCCCAACGGGGGGCGCGUCAGGCGUCGACCUCGCAUUUGAGACGAAGGCGAGCGCCGUCCCCCCGCGACACACCAAUCCCGAGCAAGUGGACGACGCCAGCGCGCUUGCGGAGAGCUUGCAGGAUGUCGCCCUCGUACCUGAGACGACGGUGCAACCAGUCCCCGACGUGACUAUGACGCUCCUCGUCGACCAAAAGGUACCGACUGAUUCCCAUCUUACGUCAUUUCGACUCGGCCUCAACCCGCCUAGCGACCUUGCUUCAGCGGGCGCUCUCGUUGAGGCGAGUGCAACCCCUCUGGGGUCUCGUAUGCGGUCGCCUUGGGACCGGUUGACGGACGUCUCGACCUACGGGCCCUCUGGGCCCGAGGAAGACGACGAUCCCAGCAUCUGUUGGGAUUUCUCCGGAUUUGGCAACCCCAGUGCCAUGCGGGACUUUAUGACCGCAUGUGACUACUGCCUCUCCGACUGUUCCGACGGUAGCCGCGGCCUUGACGACGAGGACUGCGGCCCAAGCCGCGAAUGUUUCCACGUCGAGCUAGGGGAUCCCUCCGAAGGCAACCAUCUCGGCAUGCCGGAGGACGGUGAUCUUCCUAGGCCGGUGCCUCGCGCCGACAUCCCGCGGGAGCUAGCUGUGGUCCCCGUUCCGGCGGGGGGUCACGACCCACAGCUCGAGCAAGUCCGCGGGGCGCAGGCCAGGCUCGACGAGGGAGCGGGAGCGCUUGAGCCGAUCCGUCGGGACAUCGGGCAGGUAUGGGCGGGCCAACCCCCGGCCGGAGAAAUGCGUCACCUGCCCCAAGAUUUCCAGCACCGCGUCACCAACGACGUCAGGGUCAGACCGCCACCCGCAUCCAGCGGGGUCGGUCAGAACCUGGCAGCCGCAGCGAUGCUCCUCCGCGCGAUGCCGGAGCCAUCAACCACCGAGGGUCGGCGAAUCCAGGGAGAGCUCAAGAAUCUCCUGGAAGGCGCUGCGGUCCGACAGGCCAAGAGCUCUGCCUCCCGAAGGCAGGGAUACCCCUCGGAACCUCACGUCGCGACUUCCCGAUUCAUGCGGGAAGCCUCGGUCUACACCGGGCGCACGCGCAACACCGCGCCUGCAGCCCCGGGCCACCUCGGCAACGAGCACCAUCGUCGCGACCAUCGGGCCCGCCUCGACGAGAGGGUGCACCGAGGCUACCACCCCAGGCGUGGGGGACGCUAUGACAGCGGGGAGGAUUGGAGUCCCUCGCCCGAACCACCCGGUCCGCAGGCCUUCAGUCGGGCCAUCCAACGGGCGCCGUUCCCGACCCGGUUCCGACCCCCGACUACUAUCACGAAGUACUCGGGGGAAACAAGACCGGAACUGUGGCUCGCAGACUACCGCCUGGCCUGCCAACUGGGUGGAACGGACGACGACAACCUCAUCAUCCGCAACCUCCCCCUGUUCCUCUCCGACACUGCUCGCACCUGGUUGGAGCACCUGCCUCCGGGGCAGAUCUCCAACUGGGAUGACUUGGUCCAAGCCUUCGCCGGCAAUUUCCAGGGCACGUACGUGCGCCCCGGAAAUUCCUGGGACCUCCGAAGCUGCCGGCAACAGCCGGGAGAGUCACUCCGGGACUACAUCUGGCGAUUCUCGAAGCAGCGCACCGAGCUGCCCAACAUCACCGACUCGGAUGUCAUCGGCACGUUCCUUGCCGGCACCACCUGCCGUGACCUGGUGAGUAAGUUGGGUCGCAAGACCCCCACCAGGGCGAGCGAGCUGAUGGACAUCGCCACCAAGUUCGCCUCUGGCUAGGAGGCGGUCGAGGCUAUCUUCCGAAAGGACAAGCAGCCCCAGGGCCGCCCAUCGGAAGAGGCUCCCGAGGCAUCUACUUCGCGCGGCGCCAAGAAGAAAGGCAAGAAGAAGUCGCAAUCGAAACGCGACACCGCCGACGCGGACCUUGUCGCCGCCGCCGAGUACAAGAACCCUCGGAAGCCCCCCGAAGGUGCUAACCUCUUCGACAAGAUGCUCAAGGAGCCGUGCCCCUACCAUCAGGGGCCCGUCAAGCACACCCUCAAGGAGUGUGUCAUGCUUCGGCGCCACUUCCACAGGGUCGGGCCACCCGCCGAGGGUGGCAGGGCCCACGACGACGACAAAAAGGAAGAUCAUCAAGCAGGAGAGUUCCCCGAGGUCCGCGACUGCUUCAUGAUCUACGGUGGGCACGUGGCGAAUGCCUCGGCUCGGCAUCGCAAACAAGAGCGCCGGGAGGUCUGCUCGGUGAAGGUGGCGGCGCCAGUCUACCUAGACUGGUCCAACAAGCCCAUCACCUUCGACCAAGCUGACCACCCCGACCACGUGCCGAGCCCGGGGAAAUACCCGCUCGUCGUCGACCCCAUCAUCGGCGACGUCAGGCUCACCAAGGUCCUGAUGGACGGGGGCAGCUGCCUCAACAUCAUCUACGCCGAGAUCCUCAGGCUCCUGCGCGUCGAUCUGUCCUCCGUCCGAGUAGGCGUUGCGCCCUUCCACGGGAUCAUCCCUGGGAAGCGCGUCCAACCCCUCGGACGGCUCGACCUUCCUGUCUGCUUCGGAACGCCCUCCAACUUUCGAAGGGAGACCUUGACGUUCGAGGUGGUCGGGUUCCGAGGAACCUACCACGCGGUACUGGGGAGGCCAUGCUACGCGAAGUUCAUGGCCGUCCCCAACUACACCUACUUGAAGCUCAAGAUGCCGGGCCCCAACGGGGUCAUCACCGUCGGCCCCACGUACAAACACGCGUUCGAAUGCGACGUGGAGUGCGUGGAGUACGUCGAGGCCCUCGCCGAGUCCGAGGCCCUCAUCGCCGACCUGGAGAACCUCUCCAAAGAGGUGCCAGACGUGAAGCGUCAUGCCGGCAACUUCGAGCCAGCGGAGACGGUUAAGGCCGUCCCUCUCGACCCCAGUGGCGACACCUCCAAGCAGAUCCGGAUCGGUUCCGGGCUCGACCCCAAAUAGGAAGCAGUGCUCGUUGACUUUCUCCGCGCAAACGCCAACGUCUUUGCGUGGAGUCCCUCGGACAUGCCCGGCAUACCGAGGGAUGUCGCCGAGCACUCGCUGGAUAUUCGGGCCGGAGCCCGACCCGUCAGGCAGCCUCUGCGCCGAUUCGACGAGGAGAAGCGCAGAGUGAUAGGCGAAGAGAUCCACAAGCUAAUGGCAGCAGGGUUCAUCAAAGAGGUAUUCCAUCCCGAAUGGCUUGCCAACCCUGUGCUGGUGAGGAAGAAAGGGGGGAAAUGGCGGAUGUGUGUAGACUACACUGGUCUCAACAAAGCAUGUCCGAAGGUUCCCUACCCUCUACCUCGCAUUGAUCAAAUCGUGGAUUCCACUGCUGGGUGCGAAACCCUGUCCUUCCUCGAUGCCUACUCAGGGUAUCACCAAAUCCGGAUGAAAGAGUCUGAUCAGCUCGCGACUUCUUUCAUCACGCCCUUCGGCAUGUACUGCUACCUCACCAUGCCGUUCGGUUUGAGGAAUGCGGGCGCGACGUACCAGCGGUGCAUGAACCAUGUGUUCGGCGAACACAUCGGUCGCACGGUCGAGGCCUACGUCGAUGACAUCGUAGUCAAGACAAGGAAGGCUUCCGACCUCCUCUCCGACCUUGAAGUGACAUUCCGAUGUCUCAAAGAGAAAGGCGUCAAGCUCAAUCCCGAGAAGUGUGUCUUCGGGGUGCCCCGGGGCAUGCUCUUGGGGUUCAUCGUCUCCGAGCGAGGCAUCGAAGCCAACCCGGAGAAGAUCGCAACCAUCACCAGCAUGGGGCCCAUCAAGGACUUAAAAGGCGUACAGAGGGUCAUGGGAUGUCUCGCGGCCCUGAGCCGCUUCAUCUCACGCCUCGGCGAAAGAGGUCUGCCUCUGUACCGCCUCUUAAGGAAGACCGAGUGCUUCGCUUGGACCCCUGAGGCCGAGGAAGCUCUCGGGAACCUGAAGACGCUCCUUACAAAGGCACCUAUCUUGGUGCCCCCAGCUGAUGGAGAAACCCACUUGGUUUACGUCGCCGCGACCACUCAGGUGGUUAGCGCCGCGAUUGUGGUCGAGAGGCAAGAAGAAGGGCAUGCAUUGCCCGUUCAGAGGCCAGUCUACUUCGUCAGCGAGGUACUGUCCGAGACCAAGAUCCGCUACCCGCAAGUUCAGAAGCUGCUGUAUGCAGUGAUCCUGACGAGGCGAAAGUUGCGACAUUACUUCGAGUCUCAUCCGGUAACUGUGGUGUCAUCCUUCCCCCUGGGGGAGAUCAUCUAGUGCCAAGAGGCCUCGGGCAGGAUCGCAAAGUGGGCGGUGGAAAUCAAGGGCGAAACAAUCUCGUUCGCCCCUCGGAAGGCCAUCAAGUCCCAGGUGUUGGCGGACUUCGUAGCCGAAUGGGUCGACACCCAGCUGCCGACGGCUCCGAUCCAACCGGAGCUCUGGACCAUGUUUUUCGACGGGUCACUGAUGAAGACGGAAGCCGGCGCGGGCCUGCUCUUCAUCUCGCCCCUCAGGAAACACCUACGCUACGUGCUACGCCUCCAUUUCCCGGCGUCCAACAAUGUGGCUGAGUACGAGGUCUGGUCAACGGGCUGCGGAUCGCCAUCGAGCUGGGGGUCAGAUGUCUCGACGCUCGCGGUGACUCGCAGCUCGUCAUCAACCAAGUCAUGAAGAACUCCCACUGCCGCGACCCGAAGAUGGAGGCCUACUGCGAUGAGGUUCGGCGCCUGGAAGACAAGUUCUACGGGCUCGAGCUCAACCACAUCGCUCGGCGCUACAACGAGACUGCGGACGAGCUGGCUAAAAUAGCCUCGGGGCGAACAACGGUUCCCCCGGACGUCUUCUCCCGGGAUCUGCAUCAACCCUCCGUCAAGAUCGACGACACGCUCGAGCCCGAGGCACCCUCGGCACAGCCCGAGGCGCCCUCGGUUCAGCCCGAGGUACCCUCGGCCCCCGAGGGCGAGGCACUGCACGUCGAGGAGGAGCAGAGCGGGGCCAUGCCUGAUCAAAAUUGGCAGACCCCAUACCUGCAAUAUCUCCGCCAAGGAGAGCUACCCCUUGACCAGGCCGAGGCUCGGCGGGUAGCGCGGCGCGCCAAGUCGUUCGUCUUGCUGGGCGAUGAGGAGGAGCUCUACCACCGCAGCCCCUCGGGCAUCCUCCAGCGAUGCAUCUCCAUCGCCGAAGGUCAGGAGCUCCUGCAAGAAAUACACUCGAGGGCUUGUGGCCAUCAUGCAGCGCCUCGAGCCCUUGUCGGGAAUGCUUUCCGGCAAGGCUUCUACUGGCCAACGGCGGUGGCUGACGCCACUAGAAUUGUCCGCACCUGCGAAGGGUGCCAAUUCUAUGCGAAGCAGACCCACCUGCCCGCUCAGGCUCUGCAGACGAUACCCAUCACCUGGCCCUUUGCUGUAUGGGGUCUGGACCUCGUCGGUCCCUUGCAGAAGGCGCCCGGGGGCUACACGCACCUGCUGGUCGCCAUCGACAAAUUCUCCAAGUGGAUCGAGGUCCGACCCCUGAACAUCAUCAGGUCCGAGCAGGCGGUGGCGUUCUUCACCAACAUCAUCCAUCGCUUUGGGGUCCCGAACUCCAUCAUCACUGACAACGGUACCCAGUUCACCGGCAAAAAAUUCUUGGAUUUUUGCGAGGAUCACCACAUCCGGGUGGACUGGGCCGCCGUGGCUCAUCCCAUGUCGAAUGGGCAAGUAGAGCGUGCCAACGGCAUGAUUCUACAAGGGCUCAAGCCCCGGAUUUACAACGACCUCAACAAGUUCGGCAAGCGAUGGAUGAAGGAACUCCCCUCGGUGGUCUGGAGCCUGAGGACAACGCCAAGCCGAGCCACGGGUUUCACGCCGUUCUUCCUGGUCUAUGGUGCCGAGGCCAUCUUGCCCACUGACCUGGAAUACGGCUCCCCAAGGAUGAGGGCCUACAACGAUCAAAGCAACCAAGCUAGCCGAGAAGAGUCGCUGGACCAGCUAGAAGAGGCUCGGGAUAAGGCCUUACUACACUCAGCGCGGUACCAGCAGUCCCUGCGACGCUACCACGCCCGAGGGGUCCGGCCCCGAGACCUCCAGGUGGGCGACCUGGUGCUUCGGCUGCGGCAAGACGCCCGAGGGAGGCACAAGCUCACGCCCCCCUGGGAGGGGCCAUUCGUCAUCGCCAAAGUUCUGAAGCCCGGAACAUACAAGCUGGCCAACAAUCAAGGCGAGAUCUACGGCAACGCUUGGAACAUCAAACAGCUACGUCGCUUCUACCCUUAAGAUGUUUUCAAGUUGUUCAUAUACCUCGCACUCGCGCAAAGUUUAGUCAUCAAGGAAGGGUCGGCCUCGCCUCGGCAAAGCCCGACCCUCCCUCGGGGGCUAAAAGGGGGGAGACCCCCUCUGCGUCGAAAUUUUCUCGAAAAAAGAUCUCUUUUAGCAUAAUAUCUUUCGUGCUUUUUGACUACUUCGAAAAGCGGAUCCUGGAAACGACGGAGUACACGUAAGCAGCCAAGGCUGACCGAGCCGAGGGACUCCUACGCCUCCGGGAUACGGAUACCUCACUCAUCACCUUCUGCGAUAAGUAACUCGCAUUCGGAUAAAAUGAUUCCGCGGACCGAACAAGUCUUUACGUUCGGAAGCUCUUCUGCCGAAGCGGAUCCUUCGAGCCUUCUCGACUGAGUCGGAGACAGGGCCUCGUGGACGGGUGAAAGUACGCGUAAGCGGCAAGGCCGACCGAGCCGAGGGACUCCCACGCCUCUGGGAUACGGAUACCUCACUCGUCACCUUCCGCGAGAAGCAACUCUCGCCCGCACAAACAUCCCUGUUACCGACAAAAAGUCCAGAUACUCGAAACAAGAGGAAAGGAGACGCAGCUUUACAACGCAGCGAGGGUGUGUUUUCUGGCCCCUGCGGCCGCAGAAGGCACACGCUACAAGACAAUCUGAUCCUGCAGGCUCGGGUCUUCACGCUGGAAGGGGGCUGUAGCACCCUCGGCAUCGACGACACCUUCAGUGAGGUCCGACCCAGCCUCGGACAGCGACGCGGUCCAGGGACUUCCCCGGGAAUCCGGCCCGAGCAGGCAGCUCGGCCGGGUGCCUCAGGGGCCUCGGCCAACCAUCUCCCAAGGGCGCCAGCCCGGCCCGAGGCCUCGGCUGGUCAACUCCGGCAUCGGUCCCGCUGACGGACAACCCGGCUAGGCUCCGGCCAACCAGGUUCCCAUUUUCGAGCCAACUCCACCCCUGUUCGUGCUGAUAUCGCUACCCCUGGCCUCGGCUCAUCGAAGAGCGGCCAAGGGGUCUCUUUAACUAAGCUAGAGGAGCCUCAGACAACAAGGCCGAUCGAGCCGAGGGACUCCUACGCCUCCGGGAUACGGAUACCUCACUCGUCACCUUGGCACGGGGCGACUCAUGCUUGGUGAAGCGGUUCAGAUAAUCAACAGGCGAGGCUUAGUGCUCGAAAAUGAGGAAAAGACACGGCUCCGUGCCGAAAUUGCAUACAUGUUCAGGCCUCGACAGCCACGAUGAACAAAAACACUGGCAUUCAAAGUGCCCUUACAAACGGAACUCCGGUUCCGCCCCCGCGGGUAUGAGCGACCUCGAGCCUGCGGGGCGACGAACAUCGGAGGCUCGCCAGCGACCUCUGCAGCAGCAGCCAUGGUCCUGGGUGGACGCGGCCACCGGAGGGCUCUUGUUCGCGGUCCCGCUCAAGGGACACGAACCAACUAUCAAAGCCAAAGAGCGGGCCGCUCCCAAGCGCACCGGCAGAUCCUCGCUGCCGUCCUCGCCACGAAUGCGAGGGGAAGGACGGAAUGUUGCAUCCUAGCUGGGCAGCAACAGUUCGCCUUCCCCGGCAUGACUGGAGGACGUCUCCGUCGCAGCGCGGAAGGACGAUUGCCACCACCAGAAGCUGGAAGAGGAGGUGGUCCGCCGACCCGCGCAGGAGGUAGAGCCCCGGCUCGCCUCGCUCCCCGUCCCAGCGAGGAUGACGAACACCCCCGAUGCUGAGGGCGGGAUCACAGCCUGGCUUGCCUCUCCCCAUCCAGGAGCUGGAGGUCACCGUCUUGGGUGACCACCAGCGGAGGGGAGCAACCGGGCUGUGUGAUGAAAAUCCUUGAAGCCGAACGAUGGCUGAAAGGUACCAACUCCCACGGAGUUGCGUUCCUCCAACGAUGAGGCGGAAAGACGGCGGGUACCCCCCAUCCGGGGGCUUGGAAGAUGGAAAGACACGACGCAUAAGGGAGGAAGAAGACAUGGUCGCCUUCCGAAAGGGGUCACCCUCCUUUUAAAGGCAACUCUCCCUACGUGCGCCCCCAAACGCCGCGGGCUGAGUCUUCUCCAACACGCUCCAAGGCCUUCCCCUGCGGCGCGGGGGCUGGGUCCCGCAUGUCAUGCAAACCGGCUCAGAGCAGAAGAAGCCAAAGCGCCGCACCUGAUGCACACAACCGCCCAGCGGUUACAAGCGACCCCCACUUUUGCCCAGACCAACGGGCGGAAGGAGUGGGCAGCCAUGCAGGCGGCAUGCAACCGCGCCAAGUGGACACGCUUCUCCGACUCCCAACGCGCUAGCAUGGAGGCCCAGACCCACGCGUCACGCAACCGGCGCGCCGGAUGCUGCAUGCAGGCAACUGCCACCGCCACUUACGCCACCAUCGCGCAUCUUCGGUUGCGGAACCAAUGCCGCGACUCGAGGCGACCCAGCGCACGACCCAGCAGCGCCAGCCUGGCGCGAUGGUCAAUGCGGCCGAAAGUGGGCCGGUAGUAAUGACGGUGGCAGGCGGGCGGGAGCAGCGGUCAAGUCGUCAGCCAGGCUCACGUCCUAUCCAGGGGCAGCAAGAGAGCCUCCUCUCACGGCGUGAAGACGACGCGCCCGUGAACCGUUCCUCGAAUGGCUCGCGCACGUGCAACGACCGCCCCGCCAACCACUCGCCCCGUCGCAUUAACUCUGCGGCGGGACAGGCGGCGCUUCCGGCAGGAGAAGCGGGCGACGCUUCGCCUUCGCAGUAAUAACCGCGCCAAAAAAGGUACGCCACGUCAUUCGAUUUCGUAUCCUUUUCCUUUUUUCCUCUUUCUCUAUCUCUUGCAACAGGGACCGGGAAAGAGGGAUACCCCGAAAAGGAUCCUUCCCUGUGAAGGAACCGGGCUCCGAGCCCCCCCUACUGAUCAGAGGUUCGAAGGCUGGCCCUCCGAGGGGUUCAACAGUCGCCUCAGAUCGCGUGGGCCCUACACCCACUACUGGUCAGAGGUUCGAAGGCCGGCCCCCCGAAGGGCUCCACGGCCGCCUCAGGCUACUCGGGCUCCGCGCCCAUUACUGAUCAGGGGUUCGAAGGCUGGCCCCCGAAGGGUUCACAGUCGCCUCAAACGCCGAGCGAGGGAUGACCAGGGGUACGUUCGAUACAUAGCCGAGGCUCGGGCUGCGCUCCCGAGGUACCCUAGGACAUUUCCGAGACCAGCGGGAGCGAUCUUGUAACGGAAUCCCAUCGGAGGGAGGCAUCGAGCCCUCGGACCCCGUCGCCAGGGGACCGGGUCCGGCAGAUCACCCGCAGGUACUUUUGGGCGUGCCUCUGGGCCCCUAGCCGACCCCCAACGAACGGGGCACGGAUGUCCACUCGGAUUACCCGCUUGCAGCUCACCGGAGACACCAUGUUCGGUGCCCAUCGAGGGUAACAUGGCGCACUCCCCCCCUCCUCCUUGCGGAAAGGCGACGUAGGGGCGUAUGUAAAAAAGCCGAGUCUGUCCCUGAUCGCCCUCUCGCCCUGUGCGGAGGCUCGGGGGCUGCUCUCGCAAACCCGGCUCCGGCCGAACCGUUGACAGCGUCAACAUACCAGCCCGAGAACUUGGGCCCCGACCGUGCACCCGGGCUACGGCCAGUUCGCAUGAGGGAACAACCAGACCAGCCGAAGCAUUUCGCAAGGCACUAAGACCUCGAAGGAGUGAAACCACUCCUCCGAGGCCUCGGGGGCUACACCCGGCGGGUGCGCUCGCGCGCACCCACUGGAACAAAAUGCAACCGAGAAAGGCUGGUCCCCUUGCAAAAAAGUGCGACAAAAGCCUCCAAGCGAGUGAUAACACUCCCUUCGAGGCUCGGGGGCUACUGUCGGGGACCAUAAUUAGGGGUACCCUCAAGACGCCUAAUUCUCAGCUGGUAACCCCCAUCAGCAUAAAGCUGCAAAGGCCUGAUGGGUACGAUUAAGUCAGGGAUCAGUCCAUACGAGCGACUCGAUCACGCCUCGCCCGAGCCUAGCCUCGGGCAAGGGCAGCCGACCCCGAGGGAUUUCCGUCUCGCCCGAGGCCCCCCUUUAACGGCGGACACAUCUCCGGCUCGCCCGAGGCCUUGCCUUCUCUCAGAAGCAACCCUGACUAAAUCGCCGCACCGACCGACCGAGUCGCAGGAGCAAUUAACGCAAAGGUGGCCUGACACCUUUAUCCUGACGCGUGCCCCCCGGCAGAGCCGAAGUGACCGCCGUCACUUCGCCGCUCCACUGACCGGUCUGACAGAAGGACAGCGCCGCCUGCGCCACUCCGACUGCAGUGCCACUUGACAGAGUGAGACUGACAGGCAGUCAGGCCCUGCCAAAGGCGCCAUAGGAAACUCCGCUCCGCCCGACCCAGGGCUCGGACUCGGGCUAAGCCCCGGAAGACGGCGAACUCCGCUCCGCCCGACCCAGGGCUCGGACUCGGGCUAAGCCCCGGAAGACGGCGAACUCCGCUCCGCCCGACCCAGGGCUCGGACUCGGGCAAAGCCCCGGAAGACGGCGAACUCCGCUCCACCCGACCCAGGGCUCGGACUCGGGCUAAGCCCCGGAAGACGGCGAACUCCGCUCCGCCCGACCCAGGGCUCGGACUCGGGCAAAGCCCCGUAAGACGGCGAACUACGCUCCGCCCGACCCAGGGCUCGGACUCGGGCUAAGCCCCGGAAGACGGCGAACUCCGCUCCGCCCGACCCAGGGCUCAGACUCGGGCUAAGCCCCGAAAGACGGUGAACUCCGCUCCGCCCGUCCCAGGGCUCGGACUCGGGCUAAGCCCCGGAAGACGGCGAACUCCGCUCCGCCUGACCCAGGGCUCGGACUCGGGCAAAGCCCCGGAAGACGGCGAACUCCGCUCCGCCCGACCCAGGGCUCGGACUCGGGCUCAGCCCCAGAAGACGACGAACUCCGCUUCGCCCGACCCCAGGGCUCGGACUCCGCCCAGGCCUCUGCCGAACAAUCUCCGCCUCGCCCGACCCAGGGGCUCGGGCGCGGUCUCGGCCAUGGAAGACAGACUCGACCUCGGCUUCGGAGGAGCCUCCACGUCGCCCGACCUAGGGCACAGGCCCGCCACGUCAACAGGAAGCGCCAUCAUCACCCUGCCCCGAGCCGACUCGGGCCGCAGAGAACAAGACCGGUGUCCCAUCUGGCUCGCUCCGCCAGAUAGGCAAUGAUGGCGCCCCGCUAGCCCUGUGACGACGGCGGCUCUCAGCUCCCUUAUGGAAGCAGGGGGACGUCAGCAAGGACUCAACCGCUCCGACAGCUGUCCCUCCGCCAGGCUCCGUUGCUCCUCCGACAGCCACGACAUCACACCAGCAGGGCGCUAAGAUCUCUCCGGCUGCCACAUUAGCAUGUACUUAGGACACUAGCUCUCCCUCCGCUAGACACGUAGCACUCUGCUACACCCCCAUUGUACACCUGGAUCCUCUCCUUACGCCUAUAAAAGGAAGGACCAGGGCCUUCUUAGAAAAGGUUGGCCGCGCAGGGAUGAGGACGGGACAGGCGCUCUCUUGGGGCCGCUCGCUUCCCUCACCCGCGUGGACGCUUGUAACCCCCUACUGCAAGCGCACCCGACCUGGGCGCGGGACGAACACGAAGGUCGCGAGAUUUCCACCUCUCUCACGACCCGUCUCCGGCCACCUCGCUCUCCCCCCUUCGCGCUCGCCCACGCGCUCGACCCAUCUGGGCUGGGGCACGCGGCACACUCACUCGUCGGCUUAGGGACCCCCCGGUCUCGAAACGCCGACAAGAUGUGAGUGGUUAUUUGUAAAAUAAAAAAUAAUCGGAUGUUUAGUAUUACUUCCGACUGGUGUCCUUGAGACCACGGAAAUAAGCAAGCACAAUCGGAUGUUUCUUUGUUUCAUGUUGUGCACGAUAGGUAAUAAAAAUUUAUCUGCCAUUGCUAACCAUGACGAAAGAAUGAGUCUCGAAGUCGAAAGAAAAGCACAAUUUUAUUUGUCUCGACGUUUUUUAUUGUAAGUUAUUGUAGUGGGAGUCCCUACAUUAUUUUUUAUAUCAAAGAAUGAGUAUCUAUAGGUUACAUGUGGGAUCGAGAGAGAGAGAGGUUACAAUGUUUGUGUCUAUAGACUAACGGAGUGUUUUGUUAUAUAAUAGUUGAGCAUAGUAUCUCCCUCUUGAACAAUUUUUUACAAUUGUUUACAGUUUUAUUAUAUAACUUUUUCUGCAUUUCUAGAUACAUAAUUUUAUUUGUCUCGAUGUUGACAAGUACAAUAGAGAUUAGAUUAAAUUGAACAGUUCUACUACAGUGAUAUAUGGUAAUUGAUCACAGGGGGUCCGACUAUUAGGGGGGAAUUAGGACCUGAGGUGGGAAUUAGGACCCUGUCAUGCUGGAGGUCAAGGAGUUGGUGCCCGCCGUACUAAGAAGAAGUCAAGUGCUUGCUUGAUCUAGCUAGUAAAACGUGUACGACACAUGUUGGUUUGGUGGAACCGACACAUAUUAUAUUCCACAAGAGGAACAAGCCACACAAAUUCGGUGGUGGCGUCUCCUCCUGCUCUCCCUCCGUUGUUCUUGUCUCGUUACCUACAGAUGCGUGUGGUGGUAGAGAGUCGCGGCAGUGGUUCGAGACACUUGUCGAUGGAGGAAGAUAAAGACGGCACCGCGUGCGGGAUGCGACGGUGACGACUAGUGAGUCGGACUCCAAAAAGAUGAUCUCUACUUGAUGUCUUCUAUGGUGGUGUGAAAGAAUUUGGAUAAGGGUGGUGGAGACAGAGAAAGAGAUGGAAAAUUGAGGGUUAAUAUACGACGACAACAUUGAGGAAGACGUGAUUGGUUACACAUGCAAGCAAGAGAUAAGUCUUAUCCACUAGUAGAAAAGAGCUCAAAACCUGCGGUGGGAUUUAAUUUUUACAGACCGAUUCGGUUAUCAUCCGUCAGUGCUAUUUCUAGUGACGGUUCCUUAAAAAACCGCUACUAGAAAUCAUAUUUCUACAUGCGAUUCGUUAAGAAAACCAAAUGUGGAAAUCUAUGAUUUCUAGUGGCGGUUUUCUUAAGAGACUGCCACUAGAAAUCAUUUUUAUCCUUUUUUUCUUGAGUUUUUCAAACGACCUUGGAUGAUAAACCACCAAUAUAAAAGUUAUAGAUCUUGAAAAGUUAUGAAACCUUGUAGUUGACAACUUUUUAAAUUGAAAUCAUCUCAGCUCUCAAAAAUUGCAUUCGAAUUUGUCAAAUUCAAAAUGCAAUUUUUUGCAAACGACCUUGGAUGGAAAAAUAUCAACAUAAAAUUGUAGAACUUCAAAAGUUAUAAAAUUAUGCAGUUGACAAUGUUUUCAAUUGAAUUCGUUUACAGCCUCAAAUAGUCAAUUUAUACUCGGAAUGUUCUAAUAUGUGAGCAACAAAACUGCAAUAUAGACACAAGGCACGUCAUAGGUGGAGUGGUAGAGGAUAUUUUAUGUUUACUGGAAAAUAUUCUCACUAGCGGUUUUAUUACCUUGACUGCCAGUGAAAAUCGAUUUUCACUGGCGGUUUUACUAGCCCGACCGAUAGUGGAAAUCGAUUUCCACUGGCGGUUCUCAGUUACUCGUCUGUACAAAUAAUUUUAAAGAAACUAGUACAAUGUUCGUCGUUGCGACAACACACAAUCAUAUUUGAUAACUAUAAAAAUAAAUUUAAUAUCAAAGUGAGCAUAUGGUCCACAUAUUAGAUAUUAAACUGAUAAAAACAAAUAUUAUAAUUUAUCUUAGUGACAACAUUUGAACUUACACGUGACGACGUUUUCAUGUACUAGUUAAUGAUAAAAAUAAAUAAUUACCUUAUCAAAAGAUCACUCAUUGUACAAAUGUGUUUUUUAUGUACACAUUAUGAUUUCUUACAUCUGACAAUGUGUAGAAGUAACAAUGUUUUACAUUAAUAACAUAUGAAGUGAUGUCACUUAUUUAGAAGUGACAAGGUGGCCUCCUACGCCUCCUUGUGGUCCCUCUCGGCCACCUGUUUAAGCUAAAAGGCAACGAUGGGGAAGGUGCGUCAGAGCCCGGCGAGGGUGUGCAACAUGAGCUUGGUGCCGGAGGGGUUGACCUACGAACAUUAUUAUAGGUCGGUGAGCACGGUGGACGGGGUGGCUCUAGCGCGACAUGCACGGAGGGUCAUUGGCGACCAUGUGCGACAUGCAUGGAGUUUGUUUGAGCGUUUUGGUGGGUCGCAGCCGUGGCAUCCGAUCAUCUGUUCCGUUGAGCCUCAGGGUGGGGGGCAACGUUUGGGGCGGGCCGCAAUGACACCUGGUCCAGUGCGCCGUUGGCGACGACAAAAUCGAGGCUAGGGCGCCGUCAGCGGAGGCGAUGGGAUGGGGCCAGGGUUGCUGGGUGAUCGGGGCAGGGGAUCGGGUCCUAUUGUUUUUGGGGCUGGGGCUGGGGAUCGAGUCCCGUUGUUUUCGGGGCCGGGGCGGGGGAUCGGGUCCCGUUGUUUUUGGGGCCGGGACGGCGUGAUCAGGGCGCGCGGGAUCAUUCGGAUGGUGGGCAAAUCGGACGGCUUAGAUUGCAUAACGGUACAACGGACUGCUAAUUUGCGUAACGGUAGAACGGUCGGGAGGCAGCCUACCCCUUGCAGCCUUAAUAAGUAGUAGAGAUUAUACGACGGUAUGGUGGUGCACUUUCUCUUUGUUGACUUCUCUUCGUCUUCUUUUUUUUGGGGGGGGGGGAGUUGACUCUUUCUAUAUACAUUGGUUAUUAGUGAGCACACGAAUAGUUGGUCUCUUUGCUUCUUAGUUGGUCUCCUCAGCUGGUCUCUUUCAACGUGCUCCUUGAUUUGUUUUUUUAAUGACAAAUAACAGUGUUUGUGUUGGUUCAUUGCACAACCUAUAUAAGUUUUAUGCUACCAUACGUACGUAGAAAGAGUCAACUCACAAAAAUUAUAGAAAUAGUCAGCAAUGCUUGUUCGCCUUGUGGAAUAUAUAUCUGUCAGCUCCACACCAAACGAACUUGUGAAACCGAAAGAUAUGUUUGUGUUGUUUUUUUGCCGAUUGCCCGACAUAAAGUACUCGGCAAAGAGGCCGUAGCCAAUAAACUGUUUACCGAGACCUGUUUGCCGAGUGUUACACUCGGUAAAGCAUUUGCCAGCUGUUGUUGAGGUUUUGAUAAGUGCCGCAUGCACUCCGCAAAGAACAUUGUUCCGGUAGUGGUUGUUACAAUUGGUUUGGUGUGAAACCGAAAGAUGUAUAUAUUCCACAAUUUAGAAAAGCAAAAAAAACGGUGAACACGCUAGUAAACAUUGCAAACAUUCAUAUGUUAUAUUUGACUCGUCAAGUGAUCACGGAUGACGGAUGACGAAACGAAGAUUGUUGGAUAUAGUUACGACUAUAUGAGGUGGUGUCGUUUGUUUCGCAUAUUUGUAACGUGAUAUGUAAUUGAUAAUGUUAAAUCAUUUUUGUUUAAUUCCAACCGUAAUCUAAUACUACACUAGAAUGUGAUACCGACCUAUUUAAAUUUAUUACCGUGGAUAACUGAGCAAGAAUAAUUGUCAUUACCAUUUAUAUUACAUUUCGUUGACCAAACUGUAGAAAAUAUUACACGUUGGUGUGAGUACAAGAAUAGAUCGUUCCAUGAACCAUUAUCACAGUCCAGCAACAGCAACAAAUAAUUUGUCUUCUCAUCUACGAGAUGGGGGUAGAAAUGGAUGUCCAAUCGUCCGUUUUUUUAUAUGUAUCCAUCGACGAAUCCUCCAUUAUUUCGCAGUUUAUUAACAAUUUAAAAUUUGGAUCACUAAGAAAUCGCAGUUCGCUGGAACCUAGCCACUCAAAUAUACAAAAAGAAAAGAAAGAACACACAAAAGGCAUCGUAGGUUUAAACCGCUGAAAUAAGGCAUCGUAGCUAGAGACUAUUUCUCCAGGUCGGCUGAUAGGUUCAACCAAAGACUUAUUCAGCUACUGAUACGUACACGUCGCAACAUGCGCUCGGGCAGGCUAUAUAAACCUCACCGUCCCCAUGCCCAAAGCAUCAACAACCAUAGACACAAACACAACAAGCUAAUAAGAAGCUACGUAGCUGAAUAUUCAGAGAGCACAAACACAAACGCGAGUGCAAAACCAAAUGGCUGCCUCGACCUACUUCCUUCUUGUUGCUUUUCUAGCAUUGGUCACUUCUCAUGCCAUUGCUUCUGAUCCUAGCCCGCUCCAAGACUUCUGUGUUGCCGACAAAGACUCUCCGGGUAUGCGUGCUCUCGUCUUGACUUAUCAUGUGUUCUUAUAAUAAAUACCUGAUCAAAUAAGGUUCAUUUAAUUUGUUCAAAUAUCACAUCUACGUACAAUAAGCAUUUCUAGGUAUGCAUGGCCCAAUGGCCUAUUCUCCAUCUAAUUGCUUGCCUUCGUCUAUGCAUACAGUGAAGGUGAAUGGAUUUGUUUGCAAGGAUCCCAUGGCUGUGAACGCUGACGACUUCUUCAAGGCUGCAAAACUUGACCAGCCAAGGGACACCACCAAGAGCAAGGUGGGAUCCAACGUUACUUUGAUCAAUGUCUUGCAGCUACCUGGACUCAACACGUUGGGCAUCUCGUUGGCUCGCAUUGACUAUGAGCCCUUAGGACAGAAUCCUCCACACACACACCCACGUGCCACAGAGAUCCUCACCGUGCUUGAGGGGACACUCUACGUCGGAUUUGUCACCUCCAACCAAGCUGACAGAAGCAACAAGCUAUUUGCCAAGGUUCUCAACAAGGGCGAUGUGUUUGUAUUCCCCCAAGGACUAAUCCACUUCCAGUUCAACCCGGCCCAUGACAAGCCAGCAGUCGCGCUCGCUGCUCUAAGUAGCCAGAACCCUGGAGCUAUUACUAUUGCCAAUGCAGUCUUUGGAUCAAAGCCACCUAUCUCGGAUGAUGUCCUAGCUAAGGCCUUUCAGGUGCAAAAGGGUACAAUUGAUUGGCUUCAAGCUCAGUUUUGGGAGAACAACCACUAUUGAAAAAAAUAAAUCAAGUUACAGUUCAUUGUAUGGGAAUAUAAUGAUUUAUUUACAUUUUACAUACUACUCUAUGUAUUUAUUUUUUCUAGACUUUCAGCUGAUAAUAAAAUAAAUGGAUUGUAUUUAUGUACUAUAAUUGUAAUUGUGUCCCAACUGUGGUUCUACCACCAUCUCCUUAAUCGAAAGUGCAUGUAAUGUAUAUGGCACUCUCUCGUUUCCCAUUUUAUUGAGAUGGUUCAUAUAUUAAGCCAUCUCUAGAACGAUUGACAUAAUUACACCACUCCUAAAAUUUCACUAUUAUCAUGAAUGAUUAUCAUAAAGAACUGUCCUUAAAGAUCAAAUUUCAUGGGUGGAUUCUUAUGCCAACCGUUCCUGAAAAAUAGAAGAUUUCUACUCAAAAGGUGCUAGCUAGCAUGGUUGAGGACCAAAAAAAUUCAUAGAUUUUCAAAUAUAGUCAUUAAGUGACAAGCUUUAUAUCAAAUUUGUAAAGCCCAACAAUAUCUAAAACUUUAUAGGUAACAACUUUUUAUUUAAGACCAUUUAGAGACCUAAAUAUAUGUUUUGUCUUCGAAGAGUUGAAAAUUCAGAAUUUCAAAUUUCAUUUCUAGUGGCAGUGGGCUUUCAUUUUCCACCGUCAACACUUCUAUAAAAAACUCUUAUAUAAUUAUAUAGUGAUUUGAUAUUUUUAUACAUGGCAUACCAGUAAUAUAAAUUCAACGUUAUGCUUAAUUGGUCUCUGUACUACCCACUUUGUAAGAAAAACCUAAAAAGAGAAAUCUCAUUGCUUCAUAUAUGUGUGUCAUCUCUAUUUAUCAUUUCAUGUGGACACCCCCACUUAACCAGAAUAAAUGGUUAACAAAAGACACUCAAAUAACUUAUCCAUUCUUUGGAGUUUUGUUUGCUUGUGCAUUAAAAUAAUUAAAAUAAUAAUGCUAGUAGAAAUAAAACAAUGACUUGAGAUGAAGUUUGAAUCCUAAAUUGAGAAUUAGGGUUUGAAAUAGAGAAGGAAAGAGAAAAUACUAUACAAUACAAAAAUAAAUUUAUAAAUAGAUAAAUUUAUUCCACAAUAAUUAUUCAAAUCAUAUACUCAGAAAUUUGAGUACAAGUUCACCACAAAUUUGAAAUUCAAAUUUAGAUUCAAAAAUAAGAAUGAAAAGAAAAUGAAUCGAAAAAGGAAAAUAAAAAGAAAAGAAUAAAGACACCUAACUCGGCCGCGAGGCCGUAUUUCGGCCCGUUCACUGUUACUUCGCGCGGCCCAUCACUUCGUGGAGGCGUGCUGACACGUGGGGCCAUCUGGCCAGCCACACACCGCGCGAUACAGCAGCGUUGGCUCGUGCCGACACAUGGGGCCAUCUGGGCAGCCACCCACGCACGAACCCGCGGACGCCACGGUCACCUGCCCCACCUGUCAGAGAACACGAUGGAUCUUCUUCGUUCCGCCAUUGUCGCGCUGACCGGCGGCAAUCGCGCCACUCCACCGUUUUCUGGGGGGUUGUUGGACUGGAGCACCCGAGCUAUAAGGACCGGCUUCGGAUGCGGUUCCCCACCUUUGCCAACUCGUCGCGCCCCAACCAUUGAGCUCAAUGAGGGAGAGAGAGAAUCACUUUGCCGCCGUCCUCGGGCCGCCACCGGGAAUCCUCGCACCGCGAACACACCGUCUGCGGAAUUCGGGUCCGGGGCUUCGUGUUUUUGCGAGGAAUACAUGUGUGGUGUUGCGGUGACUGGGGUACCGUCGGUGCGCUUAGAAUCGCUCGCCUGUGUUCUUCUUCCGCCGCGUCGCGUGGACAACUGCCUCUGCACCAUCAAUCGCCGUCGGGUAACUACUCUACUUGCCAAGCUUUGUCUUCGCUACGUGUAUUCCGGUUUAGAUCGAAGCUUUAGGCGCGGGAUCAGGUAAUGGGGGAUUCCGACGAUGGCGCUCCGCCGUGGGGGCCCUGGUCUUCCCUCCGGCCGUGGUCUGGGGGUAGGAGACGUUGUAGCCACCGUUACCUGUUAGAUGUGCGACUCAGAUUGGAAACCAGUUAUCAAUUCGGACGCGUUCGCCUGAGACAUUCGAUUAGUGAUCCGAGGGUAGGGAUCGGAUCUGGGCAUUGUAAAACCCUAGUCGUUGAUCUGUCAACAUAUGCCCAGGAUCAGAGGGGGAAAUACAUCGUUUCAUUUAAUUAAAUCAACAUCGUUGAUUCCCAAUCCAACGCAUAGCAUCGCAUACCGAUUCGGGUGUGGGCUUGAUAUAAUCAGAACCCUCGGUUGUCGAUCGGACGGCUCUGAACGAAGGAUACCCCUUCAACCCAGUAAAACUGCAAAAGAGACCCUAUGCUAUUUUAGAUUCAACCCGACGUCCAUUUGUGGGGCGCUCUGUGUCUUAGAGAUUUUUACCUUGAGACCCCUGAGUUCCUCUAGUUUUCUGCGCCUAGCCCAUGAGAGUAAGAAAUCCAGGAAAUUAAAUAGAAAAUAGAUUUUUAAUAUAUAAAUAAGUGCUAGAACUUGUAAAAUUUAUAGAAAAUUCAUUUUUAGUCCUAAUUACUCCAUUUCAGUUUCUAAAAUUUUGUAAUAUUCUUCUCUAUCACUUAGAGUCUCUGUUUUGACAUGAAAACAGUAAGAAAAUUUAUUUCUCACUUAAUCCUAUUUUAAGCAUAUAAAACAUUUGGAAAUUCAUAACUUAAAAUCUAUAACUCCAAAAUUUAUUAUUCCUAUUCCUAGGAUUUUAUUUUAAUGUGUAGAUUAUUAUUAUGUAUUUUUUACAUGUUUGGUGUGAUGUUAAUUUUCUCUAUAUACUGUGCUUGUUUGUAUUGUGGCGAGUAGAAGAGCCUGUGACUAAGGAUCCUGGUGCUCAGCAGAUAGAAGUUGCUGAGCAGGAGCUCAUUGAAGGCAAGUUGUGCCCUUGACCACUUUUUACCCAAUAAUAUUUUUUAAUAUCACUUAUUCAUGCAUAGGUUUAAUUUUGAUGGGACCCAAUAGGUCACCCUAGUCUGUUUAUCCAUUUUACCUUGUUUACCCCUGAAUCAUUUGGGUAGUUAUGCUAUUGCCUCACAUGGUUUUGGGUUAAUAUUUCAUUAUAUCCAUGUUCCAAUUAUUUUGUUAUUUUAUUUAUGUUCAUGUCAAGAUCAUUAAUGUUAAUUGGAAUAUGGAGCUUAACUUGAGAAACACGUGCCACCACAAGGGUGGAAUGGGACGCCCUUGGCUGACUAAUUAGGAAAGCUAGUGGAAGACUACCUUACCCGAAAAGGGCAAGGGCAGUAGGGGAGUUACAUGCAAGGAGGUUCUCGGGUUGAUUUUGCUGCGAUGGCGGUCAGACGGGGGAUUCUUGCAAGUGCUCUUCCCAUAAACUAUAGCGGGUUUUCGGAAGCUAGUGGAACUUUGUAAAGGCCUCGUAGUGUUGCCCUGCCUCGCUUCCUUAGUAGAGGUGUAUGGGAGUCGCGAUCCCUUGGCAGAUGGGUAACAUGACUUGUGGGUACAGGGUACAACCUCUGCAGAGUGUAAAACUGGUAUACUAGCCGAGCUCACGGUCAUGAGCAGCUGAGGACUCUCGCAUGAUUAAUUUAUGAAACUUAAAUUCAAUUUGUCAUUUGCAUUGCAUGGGAUUAUUUAUUAAUUUUGUUCUAUUACUUUUAUUAAGGUUUGGUAUUUACUUACAUCUAGUAACUGCUAAUAAAAUUUUGACCAACUAAUUAAAAGAAAUGCUCAGCUUUAACCCAAUUGUUGAACAGCCUUACACAUCACAUGAACUCCCACCUUUGGUGAGUUCAUGCCCACUGGUUUCCCAUAACUUGUUGAGCUAUGAUCAUGUGUGAGCUCACCCUUGCUGUCUCACACCCCCCACAGGAGAAGAACAGGUGGUUCAAGAGGAGCCACACAACGAGGAGUUUGAUCUGAUCUAGGUGGCGCUGUUUUGAUAUGAAAACAGUAAGAAAAUUUAUUUCUCACUUAAUCCUAUUUUAAGCAUAUAAAACAUUUGGAAAUUCAUAACUUAAAAUCUAUAACUCCAAAAUUUAUUAUUCCUAUUCUUAGGAUUUUAUUUUAAUGUGUAGAUUAUUAUUAUGUAUUUUUUACAUGUUUGGUGUGAUGUUAAUUUUCUCUAUAUACUGUGCUUGUUUGUAUUGUGGCGAGUAGAAGAGCCUGUGACUAAGGAUCCUGGUGCCCAGCAGAUAGAAGUUGCUGAGCAGGAGCUCAUUGAAGGCAAGUUGUGCCCUUGACCACUUUUUACCCAAUAAUAUUCUUUAAUAUCACUUAUCCAUGCAUAGGUUUAAUUUUGAUGGCACCCAAUAGGUCACUAGUCGGUUUAUCCAUUUUACCUUGUUUACCCCUGAAUCAUUUGGGUAGUUAUGCUGUUGCCUCACAUGGUUUUGGGUUAAUAUUUCAUUAUAUCCAUGUUCCAAUUAUUUUGUUAUUAUAUUUAUGUUCAUGUCAAGAUCAUUAAUGUUAAUUGGAACAUGGAGCUUAACUUGAGAAACACAUGCCACCACAAGGGUGGAAUGGGACGCCCUUGGCUGACUAAUUAGGAAAGCUAGUGGAAGACUACCUUAUCCGAAAAGGGCAAGGGCAGUAGGGGAGUUACAUGCAAGGAGGUUCUCGGGUUGAUUUUGCUGCGAUGGCGGUCAGACGGGGGAUUCUUGCAAGUGCUCUUCCCAUAAACUGUACCGGGUUUUCGGAAGCUAGUGGAACUUUGUAAAGGUCUCGUAGUGUUGCCCUGCCUCGCUUCCUUGGUAGAGGUGUAUGGGAGUCACGAUCCCUUGGCAGAUGGGUAACAUGACUUGUGGGUACAGGGUACAACCUCUGCGGAGUGUAAAACUGGUAUACUAGCCGAGCUCACGGUCAUGAGCAGCUCAGGACUCUCGCAUGAUUAAUUUAUGAAACUUAAAUUCAAUUUGUCAUUUGCAUUGCAUGUGAUUAUUUAUUAAUUUUGUUCUAUUACUUUUUAUUAAGGUUUGGUAUUUACUUACAUCUAGUAACUGCUAAUAAAAUUUUGACCAACUAAUUAAAAGCAAUGCUCAGCUUUAACCCAAUUGUUGAUCAGCCUUACACAUCACAUGAACUCCCACCUUUGGUGAGUUAAUGCCCACUGGUUUCCCCACAACUUGUUGAGCUAUGAUCAUGUGUGAGCUCACCCUUGCUGUCUCACACCCCCCCACAGGAGAAGAACAGGUGGUUCAAGAGGAGCCACACAACGAGGAGUUUGAUCUGAUCUAGGUGGCGUUUCCCGGCUGACUUUUCGCUCCAAGGAUGAUCCUUAGUUCGUUUUAUAUUUAUCUUUUAUUUUGUAAUAAGACUUCCGAUAUGUAAUAAAUACUCUGAUGUUAUUGUGACAUUUAUCUCUAUACACUCUGUUAUUAUAUAUGUUGUCUUCUUGGCGCAUGUAUCAGAUGCACCCGGCUUUGUUCCUUAAAGCCUGGGUGUUACAGUCUCUUUGCUUCUAGCACACAACGUUGAUGUCGUUGGAUUGUGAUAGUUGCGUAAACAAGAAAAAUAUUUCAUUGGACAACCUAAUUAUGCUUUUGCUACACAUACUGCUUUUCUUCCGGCUAGGAACAUCAUGGAGGGAGUGGUAGUCUUACAUGAGACUAUUCAUGAACUGCAUCGAAAGAAGUAAAAUGGGGUAAUUCUCAAGAUAGACUUUGAGAAGGCUUAUGAUAAAGUGAGGUGGAGUUUUGUUCAAUAAACUUUGCGGAUGAAAGGUUUCUCAGAUAAAUGGUGCUCUUGGAUUAAUGCUUUCAUUAGGGGUGGUCAUGUGGCAAUCAAAACAAAUGAUCAGUUGGGACAGUUUUUUCAAAUGAAAAAGGGGCUGCGACAAGGUGAUCCCUUAUCUCCUCUCUUGUUUAAUAUUGUAGUUGACAUGUUGGCUAUAUUAACCAAUAGAGUGAAACAAGUGGGUCAAUUAUCCGGCUUGGUGCCACAAUUAGUGGAUGGUGUCUUGUCGAUUCUCCAAUAUGUGGAUGACACCAUUUUAUUUAUGGUUCACGAUUUCGAGAAAGCAGUGAAUAUGAAAAUGCUUUUACGUGCUUUUGAGUAGUUAUCAGGGCUCAAAACUAAUUUCCACAAAAGUGAGGUUUAUUGCUUUGGAGAAGCAAAAACUCAAGAACAUCAAUACGCAUAGCUCUUUGGUUGCAGAAAAGGGGAUUACCCGUUUAGAUACUUAGGUUUAUCAAUGCAUUAUAGAAACUAAGUAUGGUAGAUUGGAAGAUAAUUGAGAACAAAUUCGAAAAGAAAUUAUCCAGCUGGAAAGGGAAAUACAUGUCUGUGGGUGGAAGACUAGUUCUUAUUAACUCUACCCUUACAAGCCUUGCGAUGUUUCUGACGUGUUUUUUUGAGAUCCCAAGAGGUGUUUUGGAAAAAAUGGACUAUUACAGAUCGUGGUUUUUUGGCAAGGGGAGGAUAAUGAGAAGUCACUUUAUUUUAGUAGCUUCGGCUAUAUGUUGGGCAAUCUGGUUGAGCAGGAAUGAUGCAGUGUUUGAUAAUGCUCCAAUAAAAUCUUCUUUGCAGGUGGUUUUUCGGGCUAUGCAUUGGCUCCGCUUCUAGACUUAACUACAACUUAGACAGGAUGAUCAAGAACUAAUAAUCAAGGCAUGUCGUAGAUUGGAGGAGUUGGUGAUGCAGAUUUUUAGACAUCAUGGAUGGGGAUCUGCAUGUAGACUUUGUCUUUAGUCUCGUUUCGCCGCACUAUGUUUUGCUUUUCUCCGAGUUCUCAGAUAGUGAUAUUCCUAUCUGAGUCUGUAAUAAUUCGGCUAUAGUCUCUUUGAGACAAAGGCCGGGAACUUUCAAUUCCCAUUAUCUAAAAAUGUACAUAGAAAGAGUCAACUCACAAAAAUAUAGAAAUAGUCAGCAAUGCUUGUUCGUCUUGUCUAUCAACUCCACACCAAACCAACUUUUGUCGUACACAUUUUAAUAGAUCAAGCACUUGAUAGCUUCUUUCAAUUGUCAUAUUAAAAAUUUAGAUUGUUGCUAGGCCCAUAUUCUUUUUCUAGAACAAAUUUACUUUUAUUUUGUUAUAUGAAGAAAUGUUCAAAAUAUAAAUUGUACAUCAUGAUGAGUUAUACAAAUUUGUAGUUGAAAACUUUUUCAUUUGAAUUAAUUUACUGUUUUAAAAUGUGAUUUUUAAAUUGUCUUUGCCUAGUGUUGAAAAAAAACACUUGGCAAAGAAGCUCUUCGCCGAGUGUUAAAAAAACACUCGGCAAAGAAACUCUUUGUUGAGUGUCAAAAAUAAAACACUCGGCAAAGAACUUCUUUGCCGAAUGUUUUCUUUUACCGAGGGUUUUUUCUUGGCACUCGGCAAAGAGCCGAAUUCCGGCAGUGGCCUUUAUAUUGUUUAGAUGGCCACGUUCAGUUGUUACUAUAGCUAACUAUAGACGAAGGAAAUUCAGAUAUGAGACGCAUGUCGAUAGAAAUUAAUAAUUUUUCACCGGCUGUCUAAUAGAGUCCGAUGAAAACUAAGUGAUUUCUAGCUACUUCAUAGCGGCAUUUCGUUCUUCCUUUCUCACGACUCUACUCUCUCACACAUCCAGCUCCCCCUGCUCGUGUCGUUGCUCUAUGACACCUCGCACCCGUUUGCGCCAACACCGACUUCCCUAUCCCGAGCAGUGAGUAUUGAUCAUUGCAUGGUUAAUUUAAUAUUAGUUUGGUCAACCUAGUUACAAUAUAAUAUUUGUUGGUUAGUUUUUUAUAAUUAGAUUUUACAUUUAGCUACUAGCAAUUUUUUGUGUUUAAAUAUAAUACGGUAUUAUCAAAUAAUUUCAUUUUUAAGAGCAUAUAAAAUAUUAAUAGGUUCAUAAAUUGUAUGUCAAUCGUUUCGAUCGGCAUACUUCAUAUGUGCCUCACAUGUGAGAUAUGUUGUUUUAGAAUCAUUUCUAUUUGAACGGUUUUAUGACGACUGACUAUGUGCUAUUUAUGGACAAUCUAGGUUUGCCGAGGGUGUAAAGGAAGAUGGUGAAAAGAUAAUAAAAAUUAUGCAUAAGCAACUUAAUAUUUUUAUAUAUGUCAUAUCAUCACUACUAGAAAAAUGGUCUUUAAUUUACAAACACCGAGGUGUGUUGUUACUAGAAAUGGCAAUGGAGCGUCGAUCCCUGAAUUUCCGAGGAGAAUUCCUUCAUUAGAGGAUGAGAAGUUUUUCCCCAAUGGGGAUGUAAACGGGGAAUAAUUCUCCCCGACGAGUAAGGGACAUGGAUGGCCAGUGAAUUAUUUCCCAUCCCUGUUUCCCAUGGGGGCAUUAAACUUGCACAUGACGAUGAUUUCAUGUAACAGUUAAUGAUAAAAAUAAAUAAUUACCAUAGUAAUAGAUCACUCAUUAUACAAAUGUGUUUAUUUUGAUGUAUGCAUAACGAUUUCUUACAUAGGAUAAUGUGUCUAAGUAAAAGUGUUUUGCAUUAAUAACAAAGGACGUAUGUCCUAAUUAUAAUUUAAGCAGGGACGAGUACCCCUGUCAGGGAUUUAUCCUGUGGGGAAUGAGGAUGGGUAAAAAAUGUCCUUUAUAAGCGUUCGUGGAGAUCCCUAUUGAGAAAAAUAUUGUCACGAAAACGGAAUGGAGAGCUAUUCUCCAAUAAGAAAUUUUCCGUUGCCAUCGUUAAUUGUUACGGUUGGUUUGGUGUGGAACUGAAAGAUGUAUUUAUUUCCCAAUUCACAAAAGCAAAAAAAACAUGGUCAACAAGUAAACACUGGGAAAAAUAAUCUAAUAUGACUCGUCAAUUGGUCAUGGAUGACGAUACGGAGAUUGUUGGAUAUAGUUACGACGCUAUAUGAGGUGCAAAAAGUAAUUAAAGAUAUUACUCUCAGCGGACUUUUUAAUUGCCACAGUUUAGUUUAAAAAUAAACUAGCAAGCAACAAAUAUUUGAGAACGGAGGUAGUAUAUAGAACGGUGGUGUAGUUUAAUUUCUCGUUGUUGACUUCUUUUUUCGGGGUGGGUAGGGGGAGGGGUGACUCUUUCAAUAUACGUUGGUGAGCACAAGAUUAGAGGCAUGUUUGGUUCGCUGCCUAACUUACUAUAUUUUAUCUAACUUUUUUGCCUAAGGUUAGUUCUUGAAUUCGGACCACUAAUUUUAAGUAAAGUGUGGCACAGUUAGCCACUAACCAAAUAGGCCCUUGAUCGUUCAAUAAACCAUUUUUCUUGUUUACGCAACUAUCACAGUCCAACAACAGCAACACGGUCUUCAAAAAAUUGAAAGGACAGAGUACACGAAAAGCAUGGUAGGUUUAAACGUUCAAUUAAGAUAACUGUAUUGUUUUAUGGGCAGGUUCUAGAUGCUGGAGACUACUUCAAGUCAGCUGAUUCAUGUCGGCAUGCUAGAGAGACGGGUGUAAUAACCGUAGAUUACAUCAUGUCUGAAAGGAACCUUGCUGCUCCUUUCACCAAAGGAGUGGCUCAAAAGCCAAUCCAAGCAGCGUGCAUGGGAAUGAGACUCGUACCCUGUUAGCGGUUUUAACUGCGGAUAACUGUCCUGUGUGACCGGAGGUCCCGAGAUCCAGGCUCCAGGAAACGAAGCACUGUGGAACCAAGAGCACAAAAGAUGAAGAGUCUCAUGAGCUGUUGUGCUCUGUCUGUAUGGCAGGUUGAGCGAUAUGCUCUUAAUGAAGUCAAUGCUAUAAGCAGGGAAAUUGUCCUACAGAAUUUCCUUAAUGAUUUCACCUAUAUGAGCUGACUGUGGGGUCGCAGUCGGGGAGAGAAUGGGGUUUUCUCUCUAGUGAGCUCAUGAAUAGAUAUUAAAGGGCAUGACCGUAACGCCUUGCCCCAUAAGAGAAGUAGAUAAUCUACCUAGUACUAUGUGCCUUUUGUGCGAAGAUUCUCACACUAGGGUUUGUGGAUCAAGGCGUAGUCAUCCGCUUACUCGUGCAGGGUUGGAGUACAUUGGGAUAGGCUUUGGUUCAAACCUAACAAGUACCUCUGCCGAAAAGUAGUAUGUAAACAGUACGAGAGCUCAAUGACAUUGAUCAGAAAAUAAGAGUGAAAAUGGUGGGGAUUGCUGUCCACUUUGAAGAUUUUCACUUUAUUUGAAAAAAAAGAGAAGGAAGGCUGGGUGGGCCGCUACAAGGCCGGGUGGCCGAGCAACCCACCAAGUAGCUCAUUCCUAGGGCAAAUGGAAGCUGAGGCUGGUAGUCCGUGCGUAGGAGAAGAGUAGUCGUAGGCUCUGGCCGCGGCGCGGUUCUGGCUCUAGUGAUUCGACGCCCGCCGAACUCCAUGCUGAUCCCUGCACAACUGCCUGGCGGCCGUCUCCUUAAGAUGGGCGAGCGCUCCUCUGGCUUUGGUUAAGUUCGCUCUGCCGUUCUUCCUCCUCUCUACUAGCUUGCUAAUCCUGUGACGAAUUCUACCGGUUCGCUCUCGUGUGCGUCUCACGGGUAAGCAAGUGAAAGAGGGAAGAUUUGCCUUUGCGCUCAUCGAGUUUGGCAUAUCUGUGCUCUGUUGCCGGAAUCGUGCAUUUGUGUGGUGUUGCAGUUCUUCUCUGAUCUCUGUCCACCGUGGCCUAGUGCUUGGGCUCCCUGCUGCGCGGUGUUCUUCUUCUCGGUCUAGUGUCGUGGACGUCUCCCACGGCCUCAGCAGCGGCUCUAGUAUCUCUGUCAACCUCCCGUCGUGCAGGUCCGGACGUGGGCGGUGGAAUUGGUUUUCUGGGACAGAACCUUGUGUUCGCUGCGCUGGACUUCCCACGUAGACAAUCUACAUGCUGUGAGUUACCUGUUGCCUCUCUAUAUUUAUUGAGUAAUUUUGUGCAAUCUGCUAGUAUCAUUUACUUGGGUGUGAUUGCACAAUUUGUGGGCGGAUUUAAUUGCUCGAUGAUGAUAGCGGUGUAGUGAGACGACGUGACAGUCUGGGUUUUAGUGUGUUGUUAUUUUCAGCAUUGAUAUUUUUUGUGCCUAAUUAUAUCUCUAUUUGUUAAGGUUGUUUACCUGUGUUAAAUUCUGUUAUUUUAUUUAGUACACAGCUCCUUACUAUUAAUAUUUAUACUUGAUUAUUAGGCUUAUUACAUCUGAUCUAAAACCCUGAUUUGGUAAGAUAGGACUGACACGUUAGUCGAGAAUCUCUGAUCACCAUUUAGCGUUGGAGGGCUGUUUAUUACAGCAACCCGCUAUUUUGAGAGCAAUGUAAAAAGAUAAACAAUAAUGUUUAUGUGCAAAAUCUGUCUUCUUCAUCUGCAAGUCAUGUUUAAUUUUGAAAUGGACAUGAGCAACUAUUUUAAAUGUUUACAUGUCCUAAAAUUGCUAUUGUUCAUUGCUGCUAUAAUUACGUAUGGCACUUAUCUGAGUUAUAUGUUUGUUUUAUUCGAAAUUAGAAUAUUUAAUAUAUUUAAAUAUGAUGGAAGAAGCAUGUCACUUAUUUCUCUAAUAUUACAACAGCUAUUGCCAUCUAUAUAUCGUAGUUGCUGCUCUGUUAGCUUUAAUUGUAAAUAGGCAAUGGAUAAUUUAUGCAGCAACUUAGAUGUCAUUAUUAAUGUUGUCUUGUUAGUGGUUGAUUUACUAUGACUUCAUUUCUCUUUACCGAGUUGGUUAUUGAAUUUAAUAUAAAAUUAUAUGUACUCCCCUGUCCUAAAUUAAAAUUCGUUUUAGGUAAUUAAUAGAUUCAUAUAAUGUUUGCUCUAUGUAUUUUAUAUAUGUGUCUAGAUUCAUCGCUAUACAUUUUAAUAUAGACAUAAAACCCAAGAGCUAAAAUAAAUACUAUUUUGGAACGGAGGGAGUACAUUAUAUAGAAUUGUAUGUAAAAGUUUUAUCGUGGCACACCACUACACCAAAAUGCUUAACUUCCUAGGGCCUAAACCGUAGGAAGUUAGUGCAAAACUCUCGGAAGUUAUACAAACCGUCGGAAGUUAGCCGAAACCGUCGGAAGUUAGCCCGUCGGAACAAAUUGGUCGGAAGUUAGGGUAACUUCCGACGGGCUCUCGGAAGUUAAGGAAACUUCCGAGAGGGUCGUCCGCCUCUCGGAAGUUAAUGAUUAACUUCCGAGAGGGCGCUUCCCUCUCGGAAGUUAAGUGCUGAUGCCGUCCAGCACGGGGCUAACGCCGUCCAGGAAUAACUUCCGACGGCCUCUCGGAAGUUAACCAUUAACUUCCGAGAGUUUGCUAUUCCUCUCGGAAGUUAAAUUGACCAGCACUAAAUAUACAAUUUGUUUUUGGUAAUUCAACACAUUACAUACAUAACAAAUAUAUAUAACAGCCACAAUACACAACAUAUCACAUAUAACAUCUCACUUACAUAAUAACAACAUAAGAAUUCACAAGUCUCACAAGACACAAGUCUCACAAGUCAAAUCCACCUCGACAUAAGAAUUCACAAGUCUUACAAGACACAAGUUUGAAGUCUCACAAAACACAUCGAAUGGAAGCCCACUACUGUCGAUCAACAUUAGGAAAUAGCGAAGAGUGAUGCUCGCUACCUCCACUCGCGAAGAGCGUAUUGACAAAGUCUAACCCAUCAUCUUGUUGCUGUGCCGACAAGGUAGCUGGAGGAGUCUCAUAUACCUAUACAAAUGACAUUCACGGAGUUACAUCGUAAUGUAGCAAGUAAAUUAUGAUAAAUUUGCAUACCUGAUGUUCGGUAGGUGGAGGUGGAGGUGAAGGCCAAGGAAAAUGUAUGGAAGGUGGAGGUGGGGGGGCCAUCGAAAACUAUAUCCCUUGGGCUUGUGCUAGUUGCUACCAAAUUUCCGAACACAUUAAUGUCAGUGUUUUAAAUCAAUACAUAACUUAAAAUGAAUGAUCUUUUUGAACUUACUUGUAUCAGUGCUUGCUGUUGUUGAAACUGAGUAGCAUAGUAUUCUUGUUGAGCAGCAUGUUGCCUCAAGUAUUCCUCCUGAACCCUUUGCCGCUCCUGAUGUUGCCUAAGCUCUUCUCGUAGUUGCUCAACUUCUGCAGUAUCCUGAGUAGAGCGACGGGAGCUACAAGCAGCAGACCUCGACGAACCUCCCCUCUGAACCGUCACCUGGCUCGAGUCGAUGACGUUAUCGAAAAUCAAGUACCUUCAAACAAGUAACAUCACGACAGAUUCAAAAAUAAUCUAUUGUACUUAAACCGAUGAAACAAGAUAAGGUAUGUAGAGUCCACACCUUCCAUGGGGUUUUCCACCACUUGCAUACACAGCCUAAGGAUCAAUAGGUGCGGUCCUCCAGUCAUAGUCCGAUCCGUGUUGACUAGACAUCGCCUCAGCAUAUGCAGCCUCCAUACAAAAGAACAAUGCAAUCUUACAUCACUGGGCACAUACAUAAAUUCAUAUGAACAAAAUCUACCAAGCAUUUCAAAACACUCACCAGACGAUCUGUUGCCUUUUGGCUACACAACACAUCUGGAUUUGCAGGAUCUGAUCCUCUGUGCCCCCUCAGGUAUAUUUGAACAUCACUAGGCACUACACCACUGCUAGCUUCCUGUACGUACAUUUGACAAACAUUAUAAUCAGAAAUGACAUCAAGUCAUAUACAAUCAACAAAACUACACCACUGCUAGUUUCCUGUACUUACCAUUCGUUUUGCCAAACGAAAGUGAUCAUCACCUCCAUACUUGUGAUACGACUCGGUUCCAUGAUUGGAACUUUGUCGUAUAGACUUUGCCUUGAAAUUAUCCGAAGCCCAAUAACGGCAUAAGGCACGCCAAGCAGCAUCAUUGGCGGCUAUCCAUGGAAUCGAAUGCUACAGAAACACAAUUCAUUUAUAAGUAACUGUAACAUAUACAAGGAACAUAGUACAUCAUAUGCAAAAACAUCAAUUUUUUCCAACAUAAGCAAAAACAUCAAUUACGUGAAGAAAAUCUUGCUCAGUCAUAGAAAGUCCAUAUUGUGAUGCCUCGCUCUUACUGGUUGCACGUCGUCCUUCACUACUCAACAUAGCUUGAUUAAUCACCUGGAUUCGAACAUAGUACAUCAUAUCCGCAACAACAUCUGUCACGUUCUUAUGGAACACGGAGUGUGCAUGCUCGGUAUGAGUAUCUCCAUCAGGCAACUUAUAAUAUUUCUGAAAAAGAAACAUAGUCAAGAAUCCAUAAUAUGAAUCAAUCAUUGAGCUGAUAACUCGCAAGAAGAUAGAUAAACAUACCCAGAAGUCGUGCCAAACUGCACCUUGCGCAUUCCCAUGUUGCGCGUUAACCGCAAGGCCGUAUUGAUCCCAUCUUGUGACAGGGACCUCAAUACCAUCCUCAAUCACCAAUCCAAGCCAUCUCAUACGACAGAUAUUGCCCAACACUUUAUUUACUUGCCUUACACGAUCUUUGCCGGUGAAACUACUAUCCAGCCAAGCCCUAACAACACAAGCACAAUUGUCAAAUUCAAAAAAUAAUUGUUUAUCCUCAAUGUGUAAGACAUAAGAACAAAGCAAAGAUGCUCUUACCCAUCUCCACUCGGGAUUAUCUCAACCUUGUUAACUGGUUCUUUAGGAGGGGGAACCCAACUAGUCUUCCGCGGCUUCCGGACCCGUGAAGACCCUCCAACUCCCCCGCUUCCAGAACCUCCUCUUGAAACACCAGCUUCCCCUUCCCUUGACCCACUAGCUCCCCCAACUCCCGACCCUCCAUCAUUGGGCCAUUCACCCCACCCUGUCUCCACCUCCCUACCCUGGACAUCCUCAUCAUCUUCCACUUGUCUCCACUCCUCUGUCUCUUCCUCAUCUUCAGGCUCAUCCUAUAGAUCAAAAUUAAUAAUUUAGUUAUUCGAACUCAUACAAAUAUUACAUUACAAAACAAAUAUAUUGGUUACCUCAUCCUCUGUACGCUGACUGCCUGACCCUGCAACUCUGGAACAUGCUCCAACAAAGCUCUACGCAUGCUCGAGCUUGAACUAGUGCCCUAGAACACUAAGUCCUCCUUUCUCCCAAAAAUGGAGGCUCUCCUCGCUAGUCCCUUAGUGAGCUGCUUGACCUUUUUAGACAUCCUGUUAUUAAAACAAAAUCAAAUUAGUAAUUGAGCAUAAUGUAAAUGAACAUAAUGUAUUGAAAUGAACAUAAUGUAUUGAAAUGAACAAUAAAUAUAUAAUUACUUUUUAGUCGUAUUCAAAAUCAGGAUCAAAUUGUUUUCUUCGAUUCGAUGUUUUCUUCUUUGACUUCCGUUUCCAUUUUUUGGGACUUACUACAUCUUUAGGAUCUCCCACUAAUGAUUCUGGCAAAACCUCAGUAUCUAUAUUAAAAUUGGUCGGAAGUUCAUCUUCUUGGUAAAUUUCUUCAACUUCCGCCUCGAACCAUUCACGAUUGGUGUGUAACUGUUCACGAGGAUUCACUUUGUACACUACCCAUGUGGCUUCCAGCUUUAUAGAUGGAUACGAUAUGUAGUACACCUGGUCAACUUGGUGAGCAAGAACAAAUUUGCUACAUGCACUUGUUUUGAGCUCAUGUUUGACUUCUACCAUGCCAAAUUGGUUUUCUACAGUCCCUUGAUUGGGAUCAAACCAAUCACAUUUGAAAAACACCACCUUAAGAUUUUUGCUCCCGGCGAAGUCGUACUCGAGUAUGUCAUUAAUAACUCCACAAUAGUUCAUCUCUCUUCCACGAUCAUCGACUGCCCUGCAUACAACUCCAGUAUUUUUUAUCGCCGCAAAUGGACGAGUACAUUCAAAUUUGGUCGAACGAAAACGAAACCCCUUAAUGUCGUAACGACCGUAGCUUCUGACUUUUACGAUUGCGUAAGACAUCUGAAGCAAGUCCUCGUCUAAAUUUGGAAUUUUGUCACACUGCCAAUCAGAUGGUGAAAUUAGAUUUCUAAAACAAAAUAUAUAAAGUAGAACAAGAGUGUUAGGUUAUUUACAUAAUUUCGAAACCAAUUAAUGAAAUUGGGCUUCCCAUGUCUUCCUCGAAGCGCGUUUUCAUACUGCCUCGAGGACAAUUUCUCAUUAAGAUGCGAUUGGAAUUCUCUGUUACAACAAGUAAACAAAUGAGGUGCGGAACACGAUUACUACAAGUAAACAAAUUGAAAUAUGGAGUCAUCUUACUUGAAAUAUUGAGUCAUUUCAUCCAUAUUUUCAUACAUAUAGAGCAAAGCGUCCAACUUUUCUUCGCGCUCAAGAUGAUAUUCUGUGGAUGCCCCGACAGUCUUGCCCUCAAUCUCAAAAAUUUGGAGAUUGCUGCGGGUCCCUACUUUGUCAUCAUGAUACCUCAAUGUAGGGGCAUUGAUAUUGUGCUCGUCUGCAAAGUAUACACUCGUGAAGGCUGCUACCUCUUUAUAUUUGAAUUUUUCAGCUAUACACCCUUCAACUCUUCCUUUGUUACCAACCAUUGAACUAAGCUUCUUUAAUGCCCUUUCAAUAUGGUACAUCCACCUGUAUUGCACAGGACCACCAACCUUAGCUUCAUAUGGAAGGUGGACAAGUAGAUGUUGCAUUGGAUUGAAGAAUCCUGGGGGGAAUAUUUUUUCCAACUUGCAUAUAAGGACAUGAAUUUCUGUCUCCAACUUCUCCAUCACGUCUUUGUUUAUUUCUUUAGCACAAAGUUGCCUAUAAAAGUAGCUUAACUCAGCUAAAGACUGCCAGAUACUGACUUUCAAGUACCCACAGAACAUUAUAGGGAGGAGCCUUUCCAUCAUUAUAUGAUAAUCAUGGCUCUUCAAUCCAGUUAUUUUAUUUGUCUUUAAGUUCACAGCUCUCCUAAACCCAGCCGCAUAACCAUCUGCGAAUUUCAAAUUUUUCAACCAUUCCAUUACUUCUUUCUUCUGUUUAGGUUUUAGACAAAAUUGAGCAUGUGGCUUUUUUUCAUUUUCGUCGAGUUCCUGGGUUGGUCGGUUACAAUGUUUUGCUAAGUCCUUUAUGGCCUUUAUAUUGUCUUUUGUUUUGUCACCUAGAUUCAUCCAAGUACUUAGAAUGCUUUCACCAACAUUACAUUCCUGAUGCAUGACGUCAAUGUUAUGCAUCAGAAUCAAUGCCUUAACAUAAGGUAGACCCCAUAAACCACAUUUAUGUGUCCAGUUAUGCUCGGUUCCAAAACCUAUGUAUCCAUCACCACUUUCAUUCUCUUUCAAAUUAGUAAGCAUAGCCUCAAUCUCUAUUCUGCUAAGACGCCUGGGCGGUCCCUUUGUCACGAUAGUGCCCUUCUUAAAGGUGUUAACCUCGAACCUAUACGGGUGUUUUUGGGGUAAGAAGCAUCUGUGGCAGUCAAAGUAACAGAUCUUCCCUCCAAACUCAAGGCGGAAACAAUCUGUAUCCUUGCCACAUAUUGGACAUGUCAGAGUUCCAUGGCAGCUCCAUCCAGCAAAUAAACUGUAUGCCAUGAAAUCAUGAACGGACCACAAAUACGCAACUCGAAGUGUGAAUAUCUCGUUUUUGUAGCAAUCGUAUGCUUCGACUCCUUUCCAUAACUUUUUGAGAUCAUCGAUCAAGGGUUGCAUCAUCACAUUCAGCCCUUUCCCAGGAUGGUCUGGACCAGGAAUAAUUAGGGAAAGAAACAUGUAAUCAUAUUUCAUGCACAGAUGAGGUGGAAGGUUGUAUGGAAUCACAAAUACAGACCAACAAGAAUAUGAUGUUGCGUUCGUAUUGAAAGGUGUGAAACCAUCUGUCGCCAACCCAAUUCGAAUAUUUCUCGCUUCACUAGCAAAUUCUGGAUCAAAGUCAUCUAGAUCCUUCCAUGCAUCACUGUCAGACGGGUGUGUCAUCACAUGAGUGUCCCCUCGUUCACGUUCUUUAUGCCAUCUCAUGUGCCUAGCUGUGUUCCUCGAAAGAAACAAACGCUUAACACGAGGCACAAGAGGCAUAUAACGAAGUUGCUUUUGGGCUACAGUUGAUGUGACCAUUUCACCAUCAUCGUUUUUAACCUCUACAUAUCUCGACUUGCCACACUUUAGACACUUACUAUCAUUCUCAUGGUCCUUCUAGAACAGCAUACAAUUAUCUGGACAGACAUCGAUUUUCUGAUAGUCCAUACCUAGACCAGAGAGCAGUUUCCUGCACUGAUACACGUCUUUCGGCAUCUUGGGAUUUGGUGGAAACACAUCGCUGAUUAAGCUCAAGAGCUCAUUGUAACAAUUGUUCGAGAACAUGAACUUAGACUUAAUAGCCAUAAGUCGAGUCACGAAAGCAAGGAUGGAAACUGUUGUGUGUUCGUGCAACGACUCUUCUGCAGCCUUAAGAAGGUCGAAGAACUUUUUAACCUCUGGAGGAGGCGCCUCCUCAGGAUUUGGUGGAAACACUAAAUCAGGAUCCCCCCUUAAAUCUUCAAGCAUCUCAUCCAUUCUAUCGUAUUCUACGUCGUCAUUGUUGUGGGCUUCCGAUGCAUUUUCACGGGCAAACUCCUCGCCGUGAUACACCCAGACUUCAUAGUCAGGCAUGUAGCCAUAUUUGCAAAGGUGUCCUGACAGAGUUCUCUUGUCUUGACAUCUAUAAAUACGACACAUACUACAUGGACACCGCACAUCUGUGCCAGUUCUUGACAAAGUAAAAGCACGAGCAAUAAAAGUCUCUGUCUUUCUUAUCCACUCUGCUGAGGGAUCAUUCAUACGUCAACCUUCAUACAUCCAUCGACGGUCCUCACCCACCAUAUUUGAUGCUAAAACAGUAGAACAUAUGAUUCACCCAUAAGAGACCGCUAGAGCAACGAUUUAUGACACAUAAGUUCCGCAACAUUACGACAAUUUUGCGAAAAUAUUACUAAUCUGUAACAAACAACAUGGUAACAUAAUUAUAUUAUAUGCAACAGUUAGCUUCUCAAGUUGAUUAGCCUAAUUGACAUAAUUUCCUACUGUUUAAAAUUAGUUGACUCUCGGAAGUUAGUAUAUUUAAUAAAAAAAAUAAAUACAAACACUCGGAAGUAAUUACCUGAAGCGACGAAACGGUGAAGCGACGGGCGGCGGUGGCGGGGCGGCCGAGCAGACGGCGGUGGCGGGGCGACCGAGCAGCAGGCGGGCGCACGGGCCGGGGUGGCGGUGGAGUCCGGGGCGGCGGCGGCGGUGGAGUCCGGGGCGGCGGUGGCGAGCGGGACGGGCGGGCGUGGGGCGGGCGAGCAGCCGGCGAGCGGCGUGGCGGACUGGCGAGCAGCAGGCGGGGGCGCGCGCGACGGCGAGCGGUGGAGCAGCGAGCGGCGGAACGGCGAGCGGCGAGCAGAGUAGCGGCGGCAGCUGCAAAAUGGAAGACGGAACAGAGACGGGCGCGCGCGCGCCGUUUCCUAAAAACAUAACUUCCGAGAGGGCACUGUGCAGGCCGUCGGAAGUUAACCCUACAGCGACCGGUCAACGGCCUCAGUACGUAACUUCCGAGCGGCACUGUGCAUGCCGUCGGAAGUUAACGUACUUCCGAGAGGCCCUCAGAAGUUAACGCAACUUCCGAGAGGCGUUGUGCCAGCCGUCGGAAGUUAACGUAACUUCCGAGAGGCGCUGUGCCAGCCGCCGGAAGUUAACGUAACUUCCGAGAGGCCCCAGUAGCCUCUCGGAAAUUAUUAAUUUCCUACGGUUUUGAAAAAAACCCGUCGGAAGUUAUUGGCCUCUCGGAAAUUGAUUAUUUUGGUGUAGUGCACCCUAUAUAAAAAACUUAGGUCCGCCGUUGACUGAAAGAUGUAUUUAUUCCCUAAUUCGCAAAAGCAAAACAAAACAUGAUGAACAAGUAAACACUGGAAAAAAUAAUCUAAUAUGACUCGUCAAUUGGUCAGGGAUGACGAUACGGAGAUUGUUGGAUAUAGUUACGACGCUAUAUGAGGUAGUAUAUACGGCGGUGGUACACUUUAAUUUCUCAUUGUUGACUUCUUUUUUUGGGGUGGGUGGGUGGGGAGGGGGUGACUCUUUCUAUAUACGUUGGUGAGCACAAGAUUAGAUCGUUCAAUAAACCAUUUUUCUUGUUUACGCAACUAUCACAGUCCAGCAACAGCAACACGGUCUUCAAAAAAAUUGAAAGGACAGAGUACACGAAAAGCAUGGUAGGUUUAAACGUUUAAUUAAUAUAACUGUAUUGUUUCAUGGACAGGUUCUAGCUAGAUGCUGGAGACUACUUCAAGUCGGCUGAUUACUAGACAUUUAAAAUUCGGAUCACCUACUAUGUGAUUACUAGAAAUCUUCAACACGUAUGCAUGGUUUAAACGCUGAAAUAAGAUAACUGUAUUGUGUCAUCAGCAGGUUCGGGCUGCUAGAGACUAUUUCUAAAGGUCGGCUGAUAUGUUCAACCAAAGACUUAUUCAGCCACUGAUACAUACACGUCGCCACAUGCGCUGUGGCAGGCUAUAUAACCUCACCAUCUACAUGCCCAAAGCAUCAACAACAUACACACAAGCAAAACAAUAAGCUAAGAAGCUCCGUAGCUAAAUUCAGAUAUUCCAACACAAAAGGGGAGUGCAGAACCAAAAUGGCUGCCUCGACCUUCCUUCUCGUUGCUUUUCUAGCAUUGAUCACUUCUCAGGCCAUUGCCUCUAAUCCUAGCCCGCUCCAAGACUUCUGUGUUGCCGAUAAAGACUCUCCGGGUAUGAGUGCUCUCCUUUUGACUCAAGCAGUGUUCUUAUAAUAUAUACCUGAUUAAAUAAGGAUCAUUUGUUCAAACACACAUCUACAUACAAUAAGCAUUUCGAGGGUAUAUAUGCAUGUCCUAUUAACCUGUUCUCCAUCUAACUGUUUGUCUUCGUCUAUGCAUGCAUCCAGUGAAGGUGAAUGGAUUUGUUUGCAAGGACCCUAUGGCUGUGAACGCUGACGACUUCUUCAAGGCUGCAAAACUUGACCAGCCAAGGGACACCAGCAAAAGCAAGGUGGGAUCCAACGUUACUUUGAUCAAUGUCAUGCAGUUGCCUGGACUCAACACGUUGGGGAUCUCGUUGGCUCGCAUUGACUACGCACCAUUAGGUCAGAAUCCUCCACACACACACCCACGUGCCAUUGAGAUUCUCACCGUGCUUGAGGGGACACUCUACGUCGGAUUUGUCACCUCCAACCAAGCUGACAGAAGCAACAAGCUAUUUGCCAAGGUUCUCAACAAGGGCGAUGUGUUUGUAUUCCCCCAAGGACUAAUCCACUUCCAGUUCAACCCAGUACAUGACAAGCCAGCAGUCGCGCUCGCUGCUCUAAGUAGCCAG
rnacentral:lncRNA from 1 species